rnacentral:lncRNA from 1 species
UGGUCUAACGGAGGACUGAUAAAUCGAUCUAUACGAGGAUGCCGGGAUAAAUUUGUUAGCUGUACCAUGUUCUAUAUUUUCUUUGCUGGAAUCUCAAGAUUGUAAAUAGAUGUUAAACAGCUCAGAGCUAUAUUAGCACAGCUUCUCAUGUCUUUCUUCAAUAUUAGCCUAGGAACUAGUUCAGUAUCAAAAUUGAUGGAAACCUUGGAGAUCUGCACCUGUGCGGAUCUUUUACCUUGGCAAGUAUGCAAACCAUGUUUUUCAAUAUGUUCUGUUAUUUAAAUAUUGGAAAAAUUCUCUUUCUUGGCACUGUUGCUGAACGGAUUUCUAUCAGCCUUCAUGACGCUUCUAGAUGCUUUCUCCCAAUUAAAAUCUACGCACAAGUUUUCCUUUGGUUUGGAAGUAAUAUUCCACGAAAAUAUAUUUCUCAGUCACCUCCCCCUUUAAAGAACUGCUCGAGCACGUGUUCUUGAUGAAGGGGCAGCAUGAAGUCCAUGGCACUGCAGUUUUUUAAUGUUUGAGUUUGCUAGAAUUAAUGAGAUCAAUACGCUAUAUAUCUAGAUAAGAAAAAUUUUCUAUUAUGACGUUUAGAAAACUGCACAAAUAUCACAAUCAGAUGAUGCAAAAAUUGUUAAUAUAAAACCUUAACUAGGUAUUACAUGUUCCAUAUUGUUAUGGAGAAACAAAGUGAUGAUGAAGAUGUCAUAUUAACAGAGUAUGAGGAUGUUGAAUUAGUUGAGCCUUUUAAUUAAUACUUGGAAUCUUAUUCUUCUAAAUUUAAGAUUGUUAGUGUGGAUGAUUAAUAUGAAUGAAAUGAUUGGACUGAUAGUCAUAGCUAUUCAGACUUAUUAGUUGAUAAAUUGGAGGUUGAGAAAUAGCUAUUCAGACUUAUUAGUUGAUAAAUUGGAGGUUGAGAAAAGACUUAGAGACAAGUCUGAAUGUAUUAAUGCAAUAAAGCAAUGCUAUAUAAUGAAUUUUUUACAGUACAAGGUAUAUCAUUCAACAAAGUUCCAUUUUUGGUUGUAGUGUGUUCAGGAAUUGGUUUAUUUAUGGUAUUUGUGUGUGUGUGUAGGGGGGGAUGUUCAAUAUGAGUGUUCAAUGAUUUGAAGUCCUGUAUAAUAGGAUCAUGGGCAUGUAGUCUUUUAUUGGAAGUUGCGGACGGCCAAACAUAAAAUAUUGAUACAUGUGAAAAGUCAUUUCAAAACCUAUCUACAACUCUACUGGUCAUCAGAGAUUCAAAUCCAGGAACAAUUGUCACUUGAGAUAAUAAAAUAGUUGAUGGGAAUAAGAAAACAUUUGGGAGAGCAUUUUGGACAUUUGGUACUUCAAUUAAUGAGUUUCAAUGUUUUUGUCCUCUAAUUAGUAUUGACGGUACUCACCUUUAUGGUAAGUACAAAGCUAAAUUGUUAGUUGCAAUUGCUUAUUAUAUGAAUAAUGAAGUUUAUCUAUUGUGUUUUGCUAUUAUGAAAGAAAAACAAACAAUUGGAGUUGAUUUUUGAAUUUGCUUUGUCGAUAUGUUAUUAGGGGACGAAUCAGUUGUGUAUUAUAUCAGAUUGGCAUAUGGUGAUAAAGAGUUCUAUGUCUCGAUUUUUCCUGAGCCUAUUGAAUAUCAUCAAUAUUGUUUAUGACACUUUAUGAGUAACUUCAACAUAAAGUUAAAAAAUAUUUCCUUGAAAAAUAUGUUGCAUAUGAUGCAUGCAAAUCCUUCUAAACAUGAGUUUGACAUUUUAUACAAGGAGUUGGUGGAGACAAAUGAUGCGAUCAGAGCAUUGUUAAAUGCUGAAUCUAAAGAAAAAUGAGCAUUAUCUUAUGAUUACACUGGUCUUCAUUAUGACAAUUUGACCACAAACUUGUCAAAUAUUUUUAAUAAUUUUUUUAAAAAAUAUCCAUGGCUUGCCUAUUUCAAUUAUAGUGCUAAUAAUUUUUUUAUAUGUAAUAAAGAUUUUAUGGAGUGCAGAGAAAAAGUAGAGUUUUUUAGUCGUGAUGUGUUAUGGUCUCUAAAAGUCCUAGUUAAAUAUUUGUUGAUGCAACAACUUCGAGAUCACACCUGAUAUCUCUUUUUGAUCUUUGAGGUGGUAUAUUUUAGUCCAAGAUACCUCCAAUAGCUGGUGUUACAAAAGAAGUGCGGGAAACCGUUAACAUCAAUUAAAUGACUUGUACUAGUGACAAAUGACAAUUGUAUCAUCGACAAUACUCACACCUAAUUGCAUGUUGCACAUUACAAAAUAUAAACUAUGUAAAAUUUGUAGAUGAAUUCUAUUAAACUUGUCGUAUAAAAAUACAAAUAGUUCGUGCUUUCAACUUUUACUUGAUAUGUCAUUGUGGCCUGUAUAUACUGGUCCAGAUGUAUAUGGAUGUUUAACUAGAUGGCGGACAAAUAAGAGUCGAAAAAAAUCCACUCGUUUACAUAAUUAGAUGGAUUUAGAGAAGGGAAUUCAUUGAAUAGAUAUGACAUAUGCGGUGAAAGAGUUAUAAUAGAAAAACAUAUGAAACUAUACAACGUAUGUUAUUUUUUUAAUAUUUGUUUUAAAUUAUGUAAACUUUAAUUAAAUUAGAAAUGCUAACAAUUUAUUUAUAUAGGACCUUAAGAUAUAUAUGGUUCGGACUAGAGGAGGUUCAUCCUUUUCUAGGAGUGUCAACUGGCAGGGCCACCUUGUUACCGAUGGCGAUUCUAAUGAAGUCAGUGUUAUAAAUGUAGGAUCAACAUCAUUCCGAUGAUAUCUGAAGCAGAGAGGUCAAAUAAAGAUUUUAAUUAAAACUGUUAAUUAUUACAAUUUUAAUGAGUUUUAUUGAUUAUUUAACUAAGUUGUUUGGUUUCUAGAGCAGUGAUCCAGUGCCAUCUAGACAACAUGUAUUUAUGAAGCUACAUGAGUGUGUGUGUCCAUAUGUUAUCGAAGCUAGUUUUUAUAAGAUUAAUCAGUUGCAUCGUAUAAAUCUUGUCCUUGCAUUAAUUGCAGUGUUGGUGGAGUGAUAGAGACGCGAGACGUACACCAACACUCAUGAUCUUGUCCUUCCAUAUAUAUGCUUGUGAAAUGACACCAACACUCCAAGAUGUGGCGAUGUUGACUAGUCUUCUAAUAGAUGAGAUAAGUCUUCUGAUAGAUGAGAUACAUGUGACCGACAAUGGAGGCUCAAUUGAUAUAGACUUGUUAUGUGAUCGUUUAUCAUAAUGAGUUCCUCUAGUUAGUGCUUAUAAAGGCAACUACAUCAAGUUGACAUGGUUGAACGCUAAUUUUAAUACCCCCAAUAUAUGCGACAACAAACCAGCUGAUUGUGUAUGAUCAAGCAUACAUAUUACACAUGUUUGAAUGAUUUAUUUUCACAAGCACUACUAACAAUACAAUUUCAUUGUACUUUCUGACGAUACUUGAUGAUUUUUAAGUUAUUCUAAAUUACAGCUAGGGAGAGUCAUGCUUGCAUAUCUAUAUUGGUAACUAUGCAAAAGAUGUCUAGAAAAGAGAAGAUAAAUUGUCGGGUUUCUUCUAUUUCUUUAGUUAUAUGUAUUUUAAAUUAUUUGAUUAUUAAAAGUAAUCACAUUUUAAAUACUAACUUAUAAUUCUCAAUGCUCAUUCAUAUAACUAUGGUAAUGGGAACAUAUUCAUAUUGGGCAUUCAGAGAGCUGGGGUAAUAACAUGUUUGACACUGUUACUCAGAGGCCAUUCUCUAUUGGUUCCAAGUAAUAAUUAAAAAUAUAUUUGAUUAUUCAACAUUUUAUUUAUAUAAACUGAAUGUAAAUAAAUAUACUAACUCUGUGGCUUGUGUUGUCAAAUGGUGUGGAGCUAGACAUUUCACAAUAAAUCCCACUUAUGUUUACUAGUUUUAUCGGGAUGAGUUGAACAUACAACAACUGCAUCAAGUAUAUAAUACAAAUGUAUUUAAUUUUUUAUUAUUUUAAAGCUAAUUAUUUAGUUUCAAUUGAUUAUUUGAGAUAAUUGUUUUAUUUGUUUUGAUAUGUUAUAUAGAUGCUUGAUACUUUCCACUUCAUCUAUAUGUCAUGAGAGAUUUGAUAUUUGGUUAGCACAAGUCCCUCUGCACUGCUUUAACAUUGUUAAGAUGCAUUGUCCAAAUCAAGUAAUACGAUAGUUUGGACUAUCUCAGCAUAUACUAGAUUAUGUUGAUACCAGAGAUGAAUUGCACGAUAUUAGCCGCCAGUGCAAGCGCGAGGAGAUUUGGUUGAUAAUUUAUGCAUCUUACCUUGAUCUUUGUGAUGCUAGGAGAGAUUAUGUUUUUUAGGAGCGGAAACCUACAAUUGAUAUAGAUACCUAUAUGAUAUGGUAUCUGUCCUUACACAGUUUCAUUACACUCUGCCUAAUCACUUUUCCCGAGAUGUCUAUGCAACCUAAUGCAUUGUGCCCCUCGGUAUCCAAGACAAAAUCAAUUAGUAUGCAAUAUAUUUUUUAUAUUUAUUAAAUACAAGGAUAGUUUUAUUAUGUAUGAUGACUACAUAUUGAAUUUUAAUGUAUGUAUAUAGAUUAAUUACUUAGUACAUGAAGCUCGAAAAGUAGCAAUGACUAUCUGGGAAGGUGUCAAUGAGAUGAGAUGUAUUGUGGCUAACACCAUGUUCAAUUUAUAUCAUGGUGGACUUCAAGAGGUUAGGGAGGUUAAACGUCUUGAAGUAAUAUUAACAAAAGAUGAGAUUGCUUAUCGUGGGAGUGUUGGAGAUGCUAGCCCGUCCAUAAGCGACCCAGAUCUGGUCCACGAGCUACCCAAGUUCAUCCACGAGCUUGGAUGAUAUUAGUUCUCCUCAAACUUACAUGGAUAUUACAAGCUCGACCUCGAGUUGAAUGAGCUAGGAAGAUAAUUAGAUAUAAUUACAUAUUAUUAUAUGUUAUGAGAAUUGAGAAUAAAUGUAUAAUUUUUAAUAAAAUGUUAUGCUGUUUUUUACUAGAGAAAGAGACGGUAGUUGAGAGAAUUAAUCAAAAGAAACAAAAAGGAAGCAGUUAAGAGGGAACUUUAAAGAAUAACAACAAUAAUAGAAGUAAUAGUAAUAAUAUUAAUAAUAAUAUGAUGAUGAUGAUGAUGAUGGUAAUGGUUUCUUCCUACAAAUUUUAAAUUAGAAAAAUUACCCCUAAAAUUUUAUAAUUUGAUCGAAAUUAUAUUAACAUAUUGAAUUUUAAAAAAUUAAAUUUUUGAUGUUCAACUCAAAUUAUAUUAGCAUAUUGAAUUUUAAAAUUUUUUAACCAACUCAAAUUUUCAAAUUAAAUGAAAAAACUAAACUACACUCAUAUAUAAUAUAUUAUAAAUUCAAACAAAAAAUAGAUUAGAAAUUCUCUCUCAUCCAAACACAAAAUUAUUCUUUCUCUUUUCAUAAUGAAUUUUUGAUGCACUGAUAUUAAAAAUAAAUUUAAAAAAAUAAAAAAAAUAUUUUUAUAUAUUUUCAAACAAAAAAUAAUUUGAAAAAUGGAUUUCAUUCUAAUUUUUAAAGUUUUAAAACCUGGCCCGACUCGAUGGGUCGACUUGGGACUCGACUGACUCGAGGCCAGAACUAGGCCAGGUUUAAAAUAAAAUAAUAGAAGUUAAAAAUCUGGGUGAUCUGACAAUACCCGCUUAAAAGCCCGAUUACAACUCGUUGACUAUUUUUUUUUAACUAAAAUGACGUUUUGAUUUAUAAAAAAUAUUGAGAUUAAUGCGAGUGAUCCUAUCAAAACCCGAUAACCUAGAUAGAACCCAUGAACUGGACCGGGUGUAAAAACUAUCCUAAUUUCAAUAUUUGCAGGCACAUCAAGAGCUGAAAAUGACCUGCGAAAGUUGCUGACAAAGCUCCCCAGUCAACGCUAAUCUUCCCAUUUCUGAGAAAAUGAAAGAUAGAAUUUAGUAAUUUUGAUGUUGGUGAUUUGGUAUAACGCUCCACUAUUUUAAGGCAGCAUUUAUUUUUCUCUCUUUGGUAGCUGAGAGAAUUGGUGGAGUAAUUGAUAAAGUCUAAGAUGGUUGGUUUCAUACAUCCCCGUAGUUCUGGACUCCGAUUAGGUCAACGGGGGACUCCUAUCUAGGAGUGGCCCCAUUUUGUAUCAAUUCUUCCUUGAACGAGUUUCUUGAUUCAUUGAAAAGAAAAAAAGAACAAAAAAAGAACGUUUGGAGCUGCUUUAUAUACAUCUAUCAAGUUGGGUUGUCCUUAGAAAAUGAUACUUCAGAGGUGGGGGUUUUUGCCGAUGAUGUUGCUACUAGUGGUGGCGGCAAUAACAGGAGCAACAGCAAAUCCAGAUGUGAAAGAUGGCUGCCAAGAAAGGUGUGGGGAUGUUAUUGUUCCUUACCCGUUUGGGAUUGGGGAACAAAGAUGUGCCAUGAAUGCAAACUUCUUUCUAAGAUGCACUUCAACUGAUGAUGGUCAUCAAGAACUGUGGUUUGGAUUCGUGCCUGCUCGCCAUAUAUCGGUGGAGGAGGGCACAGUCACUAUAGUCUUUGUUCCAGCAUUUGAUUGCUACGACAAGUCAGGGCAGCAGGCGAGGCUUUACAAUCUGUCUAUGGAUCUUAUAGACCCCUACACAAUUUCAGAGUCGAGAAAUAUGUUCACAGCAGUUGGUUGUGAUACCAUCGCCAUGGGGACCAACAAGGAGGGGACAUCCGGGGUUGGUUGUCUCUCUCUAUGUACUGUAAAUGCUACCAUGUCAAAGGAGAAUUCCUGCUCAGGUUCUGGAUGCUGCCAGACCUCGAUUCCCAAGGGUCUCAAGUCACUGAAUAUUACCGUUCAGAGCCUUCGCAACCACACGACUGUUUCCGAAUUUAACCCUUGUGGAUUUGCUUUCCUUCAGGAGAAAGUCUCCUUCAACCUCUCGGAUUGGCCACUCUCUCGAACUCCAACAAAUUUUGAUACAUCAAAUGUUGUGAUCGAAUGGGUAGCUCAAACCGAGACAUGCGAAGAGGCUCGGGCCAAUAAGAGCUCAUAUGCUUGUGGCACCAAUACAAAUUGCUACUACUCCGAUAAUGGUCAAGGAUAUCGCUGCGCAUGCAAUGAAGGGUUCGAAGGAAACCCAUAUCUUGAAAAAGGAUGCCAAGGUAAAGUGACAGAUGCCUUCAGUAGCUAAGUGAUUGAAAUUAUAAGAUUGUUCAUUCCUCUUCUCAGAUAUCCUUGAAACAAAACAACUUCAAAAUCCAGAGUCAUGGCAAAUUAUGAAACAAAACAACCUCACAGAACUUCUUAGAACUUUUACUCUCUGUUGAAUUUAGGGGAAUUCAUAAUUUGUUAUGCUGACAGAUAUCGAUGAGUGCAAGGAUGCCGGCAAGAGAUACCCGUGUGAUGGUAAAUGCCAUAACACCAUUGGGGAUUACGAAUGUAAAUGUCCACUUGGCAUGAGAGGUGAUGGCAAAAGAGGUUGCCGUGGGUUUGGCAUCGUCACAAUUAUUAUUUCAGGUAAUUAAUGUACAUCCACUUCAAUCCCUACCUCGUCACAAUUAUUAUUUCAGGUAAUUAAUGUACAUCCACUUCAAUACGUGGCAGUGGUAGGUAUUCCUUGUUUUUCAAAUAUCCUAUAUUUAAUUUAUUAAUUAAUCAUCCAUCCACCUAAAAGUCAAAAACAAUAGGUUGGGCUAUCAAAAAAUAUUCUAAAUAUGAAAAUCUUGAAUCCUAGAGUUUUAAAAAUAAGAAAACUCCAAAAAUAACACUUCUUGUUUAAACAUUAUUUUUUUUUACUAGUAAUUUUUAAUAUUUUUUUAUUAUUUUUAAAAAACUUUCCCAUACCUGGAUUUUGGGCUCAUUAAUGGUCUUGAGUCCUUUUAUGUCUCUGGAUCUUACAAACUAUCUUCUAAAACAAAAUUAAAAGUUUAUUUUAUUGACGUUUUUUUUUUUUAAAAAAGAUUUUUAUACCAUCUUUCCAAAGACACUUUUAAUGUGAACAUUAAAUAAUGACCAAUCAAGAAUUUUUUUUUUGAGAAAUGCAGUUGUUGUUGGAGUUGUUGGAGUGUUGUUACUGCUCAUUGGUACAAAAUCAUGGAGAAAAGGAAGAGCAUCGAACUCAAACAGAAGUUUUUCAGACAGAAUGGUGGUCUAUUGUUACAACGACAAUUAUCCUCAGGUCAUCAAUGUGGUAUUUCCAAAACCAAAGUAUUUAGCUCAGAGGAGUUGGAAACUGCCACAGAUGGUUUCAAUGUGAAUAGGAUACUUGGUCAAGGUGGCCAAGGUACCGUGUUCAAAGGGAUGCUAGCAGAUGGAGUAAUUGUUGCUGUCAAAAGGUCCACAAUGGUGAGUGAAGAAAACCUUGAAGGAUUCAUCAACGAGGUCUGUAUUCUUUCACAAAUCAACCAAAGAAAUGUAGUCAGGCUACUCGGUUGCUGUUUGGAGGCAGAAGUUCCUCUUUUAGUUUAUGAAUUUAUUCCUAAUGGAACUCUUUACGAGUAUCUCCAUCGCCAAAAUGAGGAGUUCCCUUUAUCAUGGGAAAUGAGAUUACAGAUUGCUGCUGAAACUGCCGGAGCACUUUGCUAUCUUCACUCAGCAGCUUCCAUUCCAAUUUAUCAUCGCGAUAUAAAAUCCACCAACAUACUCUUAGAUCACAAGUAUCGUGCAAAGAUUGCCGAUUUCGGGACUUCAAGAUCACUCUCCGUUGAUCAAACUCAUUUGACGACUAAUGUGCAAGGCACCUUUGGUUACUUGGACCCAGAAUACUUUUGGUCCAGUCGGUAUACAGAUAAGAGUGAUGUCUAUAGUUUUGGAGUAGUUCUUGCUGAGCUCUUAACUGGACAAAAAGCAAUUCUUACAAACGAGUCACAAGAACCCCAAAACUUGGCUGCACAUUUUGUUCUUUUCAUGGAAGAGAACAUAAUUUUUGAUAUUGUUGAUGCUCAAAUUAAGGAGCACUGCCCCAAGGAGGAUGUCAUCGGUGUAGCUAAUAUUGCAAUGAGAUGCUUGAAUUUGAACGGAAAAAUGCGACCGGCAAUGAAACAAGUCACAUCAGACUUGGAGAGGAUCAUUCAAUUGUCACAAAAGAAGGACGUUCAACAAAAUAACGAAGAAGCUGAGAGCAUCACGGAUGAAGUAAUCAGUGCGCGGGAUGAUGCUUCUACAUCAAUUAGUUGCAGGCAGUUUUCAAGUUGAUCAAGCUCUAUCAUCAUCUGAUGUCGAACCUUUGGUCCCUUUCAAGACUUGGUGAUCCAUCAAUAAGAAACGUGUCUCGACUCUGUAAGUUUUUCCUUUUUUUUUUUUCCUAAUGUUCUUGGAUAAACUUAGGACCAUUUGUUUCGUAUUUGUUUUGCGAAAUGCUUUAAGCUAUCGCUGUCACUGUUUUUUCUUCUAUAUAAAUCUUGCUCACUUUCUCCUUAAUCUUAUUAUUUCUCUUCUCAUCCUGGGAAAAUAUAGCAAAUCACAAGAAGAAAUGGAGUGAUCUUGGUGUGCCUAGAAGGGACAUCUUUGAAUGCUUGAGUUUCUUGGUCAUCCACUGAAGGAAAAUGGAAACUGUUUUGUUACUGUCCCUCCUCAGAUUGUUGCUAAUGGCGCCAAAGGCUGGGAUUAUUGUCUUGUAGGCUACUUUAUGGGUAAAAGUCUGUUGAAGAUUGCUGGCUGAAGCUGUCAAAGAAAGAGCUAUCAACGAAUCUUUUUGUUUCUGUUAUUUCUAAUUAUCAUGCUAAUAAUAAGCUAUUGUCCUAGUCUCUAGGAAUUAGUUAUUCUGUUACUAUGUUAACAGAUCAUAGCAUGAUUUCAUGCUAUAAGUUUGGAAUUCUGUUAUUCUAUUUUUCAAUAUAUAUGUGUAACGAUUGCAUGGAAUGUAUGGAAUCAUAAUUAUUCAUUCUACUCAAAUAAACAUCAAUACAUUAUUCUGCUGUCUUUUAUCUUCUUCCUUCUAUCUUAUUUCUUCUCAUAUACAUUUUCUUUUCAAACACAUUCAAACACUUUCAAUUGGUAUCAGAGCAAAUUCUUAAAGGGACCUGUAAUGGAGGCUGAAACAAAUUUCUCUCAUAUUUCUUCUCCUAUCUUUGAUGGAGAAAAUUAUCAACUAUGGGCUGUAAAAAUGAAGACUUAUUUGGAGGCGAUGGAUCUUUGGGAAGCUAUUGAAGAAGACUAUGAAGUCCAUCUUUUACCAAAUAAUCCAACAGUAGCUCAGAUCAAGAAUCAUAAAGAGAGAAAAACAAGAAAAUCAAAAGCAAAGGCUUGUCUAUUUGCAGCUGUUUCAACAACAAUCUUCACAAGGAUCAUGUCUCUUAAAUCAGCGAAAGAUGUAUGAGAUUAUUUGAAAAAGGAGUAUGCAGGAGAUGACAGAAUUCGUGGCAUGCAAAGUCUUAAUCUAAUAAGAGAAUUUGAACUACAGAGAAUGAAGGAUUCUAAAACCAUCAAAGAGUAUUCAGACAAAUUACUUGGAAUUGUCAACAAGGUAAGAUUACUAGGCACAAUCUUCUCUGAUUGCAGAAUUGUAGAGAAAAUACUUGUAACUGUGCUUGAACGUUAUGAAGCAUCCAUAACCACCUUGGAGAAUACAAAGGAUCUGUCCAAGAUUACCUUGGCAGAAUUGAUAAAUGCCUUGCAGUCUCAAGAGCAACGACGACUUAUGAGGCAAGAUCAAGUUCCUGAAGGAGCUUUACAAGCAAAAUAUUCCGAUUCUGAUAAGAAGAAAUUCUUCAAGAAGAAUCAGGCUUCAAACAGUAGUAAGACUACUGUCAAUCAAUUCCAGAACAGAGGAAAAUUUCUUAAGAGAAACUUUCCACCAUGUCAAUACUGUAACAAGUUAGGUCAUCCACCAUUCAAGUGCUGGAAAAGACCUGAUGCAAAGUGUAGUAAAUGUCAUCAAUUGGGACAUGAAGCAAUCAUCUGUAGAACAAAAUUUCAGAAACAGGAUGAAGAUGCUCAGGUUGCCAGUCAAGAUGAUGAAGUUCAAAUGUUUGUAGCUACAUGUUUUUCAAUUCAAACUUCCUCAGAUCACUGGCUAAUUGACAGUGGAUGCACAAAUCACAUGAAUUUUGAUAAGAGUCUCUUCAGAAAUUUGCAAACUACUGAAGUUGCAAAGGUCAGAAUUGGAAAUGGUGUUUGUAUAGCAGCAAAGGGAAAAGGAACAAUUGCCAUCACAACCAACUCAGGUACAAAAACUAUUUCUGAUGUUCUUUAUGUACCUGAUAUAGAUCAGAAUUUGUUGAGUGUUGGACAAUUAAUAGAGAAAGGCAUGAAAGUGGUUUUUGAAAAUCAAUCUUGCUAUAUUUUUAUGCUGCUGGACAAAAAAUAUUGCAAGCCAAAAUGAGAGGAAAAAGUUUUUCAUUUUUACCGUUUGAGGAGGAGCACACAGCCUUUCCCAUAAACUAAAUGACAUGGAAGUAUGGCAUAAGAGGCUGGGUCACUGUCAUCAACAACGAAUGAUCAACAUGAAGAUACAUGAAGCUGUAAGAGGAGUGCCUUCAUUUUCUGAUUUGCUGCCAAAUUGUAAUGCUUGUCAGUUUGGUAAGCAAAACAGGAAACCAUUUCCAAAGUCAACAUGGAGAUCUAAACAGAAACUUCAGUUGAUUCAUACAGAUGUUGCUGGUCCACAUAGCACACCUUCAAUAAAAGGCAGUCGAUAUUAUAUAUUUUUUAUUGAUGAUUUCACCAGAAUGUGCUGGAUUUUCUUCAUGAAGUACAAGUCAGAAGUGGUUGGAAUUUUUUGGCGAUUCAAGAAGAAUGUGGAGAACAAAAGCAGAUGUAAAAUUCAGUCCAUUCGGUCAGACAAUGGUACAGAAUACACUUCAUCAGAAUUCAAUCUCUACUGUGAAGAAGCUGGCAUUGAACAUCAAUUCACUGCCCCUUACACUCCAGAACAAAAUGGAGUCAGUGAAAGGAGAAAUCGAUACAUUAUGGAGAUGGUGAGAUGCAUGCUGCAUGAAAAGAAUUUGCCAAAGAUGUUUUGGGCAGAAGCAACCAACACAGCUGUCUUCCUUCAAAACCGACUUCCAACAAAAUUACUAGAAGAAAAGACUCCUUUUGAAGUUUGGUAUGACAACAAACCUUCACUAAGUUUUCUUAAGAUCUUUGGCAGCAUUUGUUUUGUUCAUAUUCCACAGAUAAAAAGGGACAAGCUUGACAAGAAGGCAAUGCUAGGAAUCUUUGUUGGCUACAGUGAUGUGUCUAAAGCCUACAAAGUUUAUCAUCCUCAAACUCAGAAGAUGGUUAUUACAAGGGAUGUGCAUUUCCAUGAAGAAAAACAAUGGGACUGGGGUGAUUCACAAAGAAAUGAGCAGCUGUCAGAUUUAUUGCAGGAUGAAUCAAUUGAUGAUUCACAAAGGAGAGUCACUGCUGAUUUGUUGCAAGAUGAAUUAUUUGAUGAUUCACCAAUUAGAGGCACACGAUCCCUUGAUGAUAUUUAUCAAAGGAGCAAUGUAGCUAUUUGUGAACCAGAAGGCUAUGAAGAAGCCAAACACAAUCCAGAAUGGCAAAAGGCAAUGCAGGAGGAAAUAUGCAUGAUUGAGAAGAAUUGCACAUGGGAGCUUGUUGACAGACCACCAAGCAAAAAUGUCAUUGGGUGAAGUGGAUUUUCAGAACUAAAUUGAAUGCAGACAGUACCAUCAACAAGUAUAAAGCCAGGUUGGUUGUUAAGGGGUAUGCUCAGAUUUUAUGGUGUUGAUUAUUCAGAACGUUUGCACCUGUAGCAAGGAUGGACACCAUACGAUUCUUGUUUGCUGUUGCUGCACAGAAACUGGAAAGUCUUCCAGUUAGAUGUUAAAUCAGCUUUCUUGAAUGGCAUUCUACAAGAAGAAAUUUAUGUUGAGCAACCUGCUGGUUUUGUGAAUCAAGGAAAAGAAGACAAAGUUUAUCUACUAAAGAAAGCUCUCUAUGGCUUGAAACAAGCACCUAGAGCUUGGUAUGGAGAAUUGAUGUAUUUGACAGGUUCUGGAUUUCAGAAGAGUUUGUCAGAAGCAACUCUUUAUGUGAAGAGAUUCAAUGAUGAUGUGCUUAUAAUAUCUCUUUAUGUUGAUGAUCUCUUAGUGACAGGAAGCAAUACAGUGCAGGUUGCAGAAUUCAAGCUAAAUAUGAUGCAAGUAUUUGAAAUGACCGACCUUGGUCUCAUGAGUUUUUUUUUCUGGGAAUGGAAAUUAUGCAAAACAGAGAAGAAAUUUUCAUUUGCCAGAAGAAGUAUUCAAGGGAAAUCCUGAAGAAAUUUCAGAUGGAUAAUUGCAAGCCGACAACUACUCCUAUGAAUCAAAAGGAUAAAUUCAGCAAAGAAGAUGGCACUGCCAGAGUAGAUGAAGAAAAAUUCAGAAGCUUGAUUGGAUGCUUGUUGUAUUUAACAGCAACUCGACCUGACAUACUUCAUGCAACAAGUCUGUUAUCUCGGUUUAUGCAUUGUCCAACCGAAAUUCAUAUGAGAGCAGCUAAAAGAAUUCUGAGAUACAUCAAAGGAACAUGCAGUUUUGGGGUUAAAUUUUUGAAGUGCCAAGAUUUAAAACUACAUGGUUUUUUUGACAGUGAUUGGGGUGGCUCUAUUGAUGACAUGAGAAGUACCUCUGGGUUUUGUUUUAAUCUAGGAUUUGCUAUAUUUUCAUGGUCAUCUAAGAAGCAAGAUAUCGUGGCUCAAUCUACUGCAGAGCCAGAGUUCAUUGCAGCCACAACUGCAUUGAAUCAAGCAUUGUGGUUACAAAAAUUAUUAGGAGAUUUACAGAUGGAAGAAGAAGAAGCAACUGAAAUCUCAGUUGACAAUCAAGCAGCUAUUGCAAUAUCUCAUAAUCCAGUUUUUCAUGGAAAAACUAAACAUUUUAAUAUCAAGCUUUAUUUCUUGCGUGAGGUGCAGAAAAAUGGUGAAGUUAAAUUGAUUUAUUGCAAGUAUGAAAAUCAAUUGGCUGAUCUGUUUACUAAACCACUUUCAGUAAACAAGUUUGAGUUUUUAAGACAAAGGAUUGGGGUUUGCAGCUCCUCAAGAAAGGAGGAGUGUUGAAGAUUGCUUGAUGAAGCUGUCAAAGAAGGAGCUGUCAACGAAUCUUUGUGUUUCUGUUAUUUUUAAUUAUCAUGCUAAUAAUAAGCUAUUGUCCUAGUCUCUAGGAAUUAGUUAUUCUGUUAUUAUGUUAACAGAUCAUAGCAUGAUUUCAUGCUAUAAAUUUGGAAUUCUGUUAUUCUAUUUUUCAAUAUAUAUGUGUAACGAUUGCAUGGAAUGUAUGCAAUCAUAAUUAUUCAUUCUACUCAAAUAAACAUCAAUACAUUAUUCUGCUGUCUUUUAUCUUCUUCCUUCUAUCUUAUUUCUUCUCAUUUACAUUUUCUUUUCAAACACAUUCAAACACUUUCAAAGUCCCAAGCUCUACUCUGUUUCUGCUAUGGCAAGCACCCUAUGGUGGCCGGAUGUUCCUGUUGAAGUUUACUAUGGACCGAAAGGUCAUUCCUGAGAUGUGAUAUAAUUUUGAUCCCGGUGAUUUAGGACGAUGCUAAACCACUUCAACGUAGCAUUUCAUUUGGACUUUGUGAUUGUCUGUCUUAGGUUCACUUAUUGAAGGACUUGCAUUUUCAUGGAGAAGAGUGAUGAUUUGCCUGGCAAAGAUUAUAUCUCUUCACUAUUUUUCUGACCCCACAAGUAUUCAUGAGGUGCUGUUAGCCUAGAUACUCACUUCAAGAUUGGCCUUUUUACAUCGCUAUUGCUACAUCUUUUUGCAAGCUCAGCAACCAUUUCUAUCUCCUCCGGUUCUUCUUUAGCUACCUCAAAAUCUAAAAUUUUAAGGAGAUUAUUGUUUUCCAACGAUGAGAUGAAAAUGAUGUUACGCUUCUCUCCAGGCAUUAGAGUUUGGCUUCUGUCGUGUCAGAAGCUCCACAAGAACCAUUCCAAAGCUGAAGACAUUACUCUUUACUGUUAAAUUACCUGUCAUAAGACAGUCACUAUCCAGGUAGCCAAAAUUCCCCUGUAUUUUUGUGGCUAUAUCAGCUUCACCUGGUGAAAUCAGCUCUGAAGCUCCAAAAUCAGCUCCGGAAGUAUGUUCACUGUCUUGACAUCCCCGUGAACGAAUGGAGGGUUUGCUAAAGAACGCAAAUAAUCAAGCACAAGUGCAGUCUCAGCAGCUACCCUCAAACGGUUUUUCCGAGUUCUCAACACUUGAGACUUUUAUCAUAGAUAUGAUGAAAAGGGGUUCCCUUUGAGAUGAAUUUGUAAACUAGUAAAGGCUCUUUGGUCUGCAAAAAUAGUCUGAAAAGCUUUUGACCACAAAUAAGUUAGUACCUAAUCAUGCAAUCUAUCACAACUCCUAUGUUAUGGCGUGCAUGCAAUGCAUAGACGUAUCAAAUCAACAAUCUCCAUACUAGCUGAAACUUCAAACAAAAAUCUGUUCAAAAAAAGAAAAACGAAGCAAAAAUCAUGACUCAGCUAAGUGUCUUGUAACAUUAAAUGACACGCUGAAACCAAUUGUUCUUCAAAAGCAGAUUUUCUAGCUAGCAUUGACAGGCUUAGUAGUGAGUCCAAAAUCAUAGGGGAAGAGGGGAUCGUAAUGAGAGUCACCAACAUUCAUAGGGAGCUGAUCAACGGUCUUGAACCAAGUCUGGGGCAGCUUUCCAGUAAAUCCAUAAUCCCCGAAAAGCACAUCUGCUACUCCUUGGCCUUCAGUGCCUGGCAACCAGGCAGCAACAAGAGCAUCGAUUUGAGACUCAUAGGGCUCAAUCACUACUGGACGGCCAGAUACUGUGACCACAACGCACUUAACAUUGCCGCAGACAUUGAGGAUCGUACUUGGACCUGGUUCAGCUAUGGUCAGGUUCAAACUGUCUCCGGCUGUCUCAGCAUAAGGAGUCUCUCCGACCACAACAAUGGCAUAAGAGAAGUUGUUGGACUUGACGAAAUCAGCAUCAGGGUUCUUGCUGUAGACGAUUUCUGUGCUUGGAUCAGCAGCAGCUGAGAUACCACAUAAGAUGGUGGUUCCUGCUCAUUGUGCGAUAGGACAAGUUCCAUCAAUACUGCUACUAUUAUAUUUGAAUUCAAGAGAAGCGUGCUUGAAAUGGAAGCAAAAAGGAGAAGCAUUUUAAUUAUACCAGCAGUGUAAUUGUUGCCAUCAACUCCUUGCCAAGUUGCAGUCCAUCCUCCACAUUGAUAGCCCAAAUUGUUGGCAUGGCUUCCGGCUACAAGGAUCCUAGAUGCUUUUUUAGGGAGGGGUAGAACUGGAGCAUCCGCGUUCUCUCCAUUCUUCAACAGCACGAGUGACUUCCUCACAGCUUCCCUUGCCAAAUCUCUGUGAGCCUGUUUUCAUACCAAGUGGAGAGUUUUCAGACAAAUAAGUAAUCUCCUGAAAUGGGAAAGGAAUGCUUAGAUUGAGACAUAUAAAGCUACCUGGCUUCCGAGCUGGUUAACCAAGGUCUCAUCAGCUAAGGGAGUCUCAAAUAGACCUAAAGUGAAUUUCACUCGCAAAUCCUCCUGGCAGCAUCAUCAAUACGGUCCAUGGAAAUGUAAUUGUUAUUUACUAAGUCAGUCACAAUAUUGAUGAACUCAGUAUGGUUGUAUGGAACCAUGAUCUGAAACACACACGUUAAAGCUUCAAUGUCAAGAAAAGCAGCAGCUCUAAUCAACAAGAACAAAAAACAUUUUGUUUGACAAGAGUAGGCAAGUUUCUGCUAGUCUUUGAGAAUAGAGACGUAGGAAUCAACUAACCAUGUCAAUUCCGGCUGAAAUUCCUUUCAGAACUGACUCUGUGUAGUUUGAAUGAGGUGGGUAAGUAAUCCUGUCAAUACCCUCCCAAUCAGAGAUGACAAAACCCUGUGACGUUCAAAAAAUUAAGGCAAAAGGUUAGAAUUGUUUGCUUUUCAUAAUAUUCUAUGACUUCGUUUUGGAUACAUAAUUUAACAAAAAACAUCAGAAAUUUAACUAAGCAGUACCCUGAACUUGAGGGUAUCCUUGAGAACAGUCUUGACAAGGUAACGAUUGGCAUGCAUCUUCUGUCCAUUCCAGCUUGAGUAAGAAACCAUAACAGUUGAGACACCCUUGAUAAUGGAGUGAAAAUAAGCUGGCAUAUGAAUGCUCAUCAAUCCAUGGUAGCCAAUAACAGUAUUGUUCUCGUUAAUGCCCUUGGUGGUGCCCCCAUCUCCAACAAAGUGCUUCGCACAGGCCGCAACUUUGUCCCUGUAACAAGGUUAUCAUUUUCUCAAGUAAUUAUCUUAGCAGUUAAUAUAUAUAUAAUUAAAUGUUUAAAUUAAGUCACACUUACUUUCCACCAACAUAGGGAACACCCUUUCUGGAAUCUGGAGGAACAUCACCUUGCAAUCCAGGUAUAAUCUCUGUCAUCAUUUCAACAACUUUAGGAUCCUCACUAUAGCUCUCAUAGCACCUACCCCAUCUGGGAUCUCUACAAACCUGUUUGUUAUACAAUGAUUAAUAUUUUAUAAUGAUUAUUUCAGAGAUAUGAUCAGAUUCAAAUUUUUCUUUUAUAUCAUUGCGUACCGCAAUGCAUGGAGCAAAAACGUAAGGAAUGCCAGUAGCCCUAACUUCAAGAGCAGUCGCUGCUCCAAUCCUCUUCACAAGGUCAGGAUCCCUGAAAUAAAGAAUUUUUUAAGAUCACAAAUAUAUAUGUGAACGAAAAAAAGGCAUAUAUAUAUAUAUAUUUUAUAAAUGAUUGCAUAAACCUGGUCACGGUCCUGGUCUAGACAGUUUUCGUUCAAUAAACCAUGUUCAUGUAAAACUCUCUAAAUUAUUUGGAUUAAGAAAAGGUGGUAACUAACAUGUGUAUUUGUGUAAUGAAAAACAUCAUUUCGGAAGGUAAAUGAUAUCUUACCUUGUGGCUCCAAGACCCACGUUAUGGGGGAAUAUAGUGGCCUUGUAAAUAUUGUUGUGCCCAUGAACAGCAUCAAUCCCAUAAAUCAUAGGAAUUCCAAGACGACUAGAGAGUGAAGCAUUUUGGAAUCCAUUAAUCAUAUGAAUCCAAUCUUGAGCUUUGGCGUUAAAGUGAGGGGCACUUCCUCCACCACUUAGUAUGCUGCCAAUUGAGUAAUCUCUCAAGACAUCAGCACUUGCAACAGAUCGCUCUAUCUGUGUCAUCUGACCAAUCUUUUCUGCUAAUGUCAUUCGACUCAUCAGGUCCCUUAUUCGUACGUUAGUCGGCUGUUUCGGGUCCUUGUAUUUUAUGUAAUCUCCUUCAGCUUGAAUCAUAUUUGCAAGACAGCAUAGCAGGAGAAAUCCCACUAGAGGGAUUGAAAUCCUUGACAUCUUCUUGUCUUUGAAGAAACUCUCAGAGACUUCAAAACUAUCAAAAGAUACAUAUACAUAUGUAAUUGAUUAAAAAUAAAGCGAACUAUAAUUAAAUAACAUAAAAAAAACUUAUUAAUAUAUAUACACAGAAAAGUAGGCAAGCUCAUUUCCAGAGAUUCAAUGUGUCUAUGAUAGGAGCGUGGGAUUCAAAAAAAUACUAAUUAACCAUCGCUUGAAGCACAGAAACAAACUGGACAUACCUUACAAUAACAUUAACAUGAAAAGCACAAACAAAUAUUUUUCAGUCAAUCCACACUUGACACAUGUGGACAGAGUAAAAAAUAAAGUAAAAUCAAAGCAUGCUUAAUGUGACAUUGUCAUGAUAAUAUUGGAACUAUUUCACAUAAACAUGAAUAAUAUCCUCGUUCCUCCUAUAACAACAUCAACUAGUACUUACCUGGUUACGUCCAAAACCUAGUAAGAAUAACAGAGGUGAAACCACAAUUUAUUGAUUGAAACAAAGACGUGGGGAGUAAGUGUUUGGUUUUAUAAUAGUAGUGGUGAGUGAUCGUGACACCUUUUUCUAGCAGGAUUCGGAUAGUUUUGAUAAUUGAUUUUGACUCUAAUUCUAUCGGAUUGUGUUAAAUCAUAUUUUUAUGUAGUUAAUCAUAUUUUUAGAUAAUUAUGAUAAAAACUCCGUGAUCAAAAAGUCUUUUAGUUUGAUAAGACGAUAAGAGUCCAUUCCCAUCUAAGUAACUGAAUAAAAAACUAGAACCUUGAUUUCAAAAGUUGGAUAACAGUUGCUGGGCUAUCCUCCGAUAGAGAUAUCUGUCGUGUUCCAGAGAUUGAAAAGGUAUACGAAUCAUGGGAAAAUCAUAAUACACGUAAAUUAAUAUAGAUCAUCUAGGAAAAGGAUUUUGUUGACUUUUUAUUUGCGAAGCUGCAAAAACAUAACCUCAAUAUAAGGCUUUAUGGUAAGAAGUAAGAACAAAUAUUUCCUUCAGUUAUUUUUAUUCUAUUAUAUUUAAUUUAUGAGAUUAAAUAUUAUCUUUAAUGAUUUCAUUAUCAUUAUUUAAUAUAAAAAAUUAAAUAUCAUCUUUAAUAAAAAAAUAUAUUUAAGGCUUUUUGGUAAGAAUACAUAUUUCCUUUAGUUAUUUAUAUUCUAUUCUAUUUAAUUUAAGAGACUAAAUAUUAUCUUUAAUUGUUACGUUUUUCUUAUUUAAUCUAAAAAAUUAAAUAUUAUCUUUAACAAUAUUUUUUAUUAAAUAUUUAGAGUAUGCUUGGUUUUAUAAUGGGCAUUCUCAAAUUUAAAUCUGCUUCUCAAGUUGGUUUUGGCAUGUAGGUUUCAUUUACAGGGCAAGGGGAAACACAAUCAAUGAAGCAGUUAUCAGGGGGUCAGAAAACUGUGGUUAUCAAGCUGCCACCCAUUGCAGGGAGUUGAUCUUUAGGUUCCUGGAGUGGAAGUAGUUAUUUAUAUCUAACGGGAAGCUGGUAAUAUUUAAAUGCAUCCUCCUCAUCCAUAAUUGAAGACUUGCUUGUACAUCUGCAGAUAAUUUGUCCACUUAAGCUACUACUGGUUUGAAUAAUUUGAGUGACAGUAAGAUUUUGUUGAAUGCUUGAGUUUCUAGGCUGAACAAUGGAUUAUCCAGGCCAAUCAGGAAAGCUCGUCAGGAGGAUAGGCUAACAAGAACUAGGGCUGUCGUGGAAUUUAACAGUGUAGACAAUGACAUCCUGUACAUAUAUGCGAAUUCGGCAACGCACAACAACUUGUGCAAGUCGUUGGAUUGACUUGGCACGAUCUUAAACUUGAAUGAAGAACUGUCCAAGGCAUGCGAGACACUCAAACAGAUGACGCAACAAGAACAGAUAAUUGAGGCUGUCAGGUGGACACACAAAAUAUAGGUUAGUGACGGUUAUUAAUAUCCAAGAUUAUGGAAUCAUGGGGCUGAAAGCGUGGGGGCUAAGUAGGAGUUGCUCUCAACCCACUAAGAUCAUGGGAGAUCAUGGAAAAAACUACCUCCUAUUUGGUAGAUAAUAGGGCCUCUAUAUUCAUGAGAGAAUAUGAAGGAAAACUACCCACUAUUUGGUAGAUAAUAGAAUCACUAUAUUCAUAAGUGAACAUGAAGGAAAACUACUAUUUGGUAGAUAAUAGAAUCACUAUAUUCAUGAGUGAACAUGAAGGAAAACUACCCACUAUUUGGUAGGUAAUUAAUGUGCAUCCACUUGAAUACGUGGCAGUGGUAGUGCCAGGUGUUCCUUGUUUUUUAACUAUCCUAAAUGUAAUUUAUUAAUCAAUCAAUCCAUCCACCGACAAGUCCAAAACAAUAAGUUGAAUUACCUUGAAGUAAUCAGUGCGAGGGAUGAUGCUUCUACAUCAAUAACUUGCAGCAGUUUUCAAGUUGAUCAAGUUCUAUCAUCAUCAGAUGUCGAACCUUUGGUUCCUUUCAAGACUUGGUGAUCCAUUAAUAAGAAACGUGUCUCGACUCUGAAAGUUUUUUCUUUUUCUUUUUUCCUAAUGUUCUUGGAUAAACUUGAGACCAUUUGUUUCGGUAUUUGUUUUGCGAAAAUGCUUUAAGCCAUCGGUGUCACUGUUUAUUCUUCUAUAUAUAUCUUGCUCACGUUCUCUUAAUCUUAUUAUUUCUCUUCUCACCUUGGGAAAAUAUAGCAAAUCACAAGUAGAAAUGGAGUGAUCUUGGUGUGCCUAGAAGGGACAUCUUUGAAUGCAUGAGUUUCUGGGUCAUCCACUGAACCAAAAUGGAAACUGGUUUUUUAUAGUCCCUCAGAUUGUUGCUAAUGGCGCCAAAGGCUGGGAUUAUUGUCUUGUAGGCUAAUUUAUGGGUAAAAGUCCCAAACUCUCCUCUGUUAUGCUGGCCGGAUGGUCCUGUAAAAAUAAUAUUAAGAUAGUGCAAGCGCAUUUCAAAGAAAGUAGAGAAAUUGAGAUCAAAACAAAACAACUUGUAAAUGCGUAGAACUUUUCUAGAAUUUAUAUUCGUGUAGACUAAAUUGUAUUGAAUUAAGGUCAAUUCAUAAUUUCUUAUGUUUACAGAUAUUGAUGAGUGCAAGGAUCCCAAGAAAUACAUAUGUUAUGGUAAAUGCCAUAACACCAUUGGGGAUUACGAAUGUAAAUGUUCAGUACUGGGCAUGCAUGGUGAUGGCAAAGAAGAUUGUCAAGGAUUUGCCAUGACUACCAUUAUAGCAGGUAAAUGUCCUUUGCAUUUUUCUUCUAUUCCAGUGGUUGCUAUGGCUUGCUUUGACUGCUUCCAGAGCUGCAUCUUUCGUACCCAGAGAACCAAUGAGCUCCUGUUAUUGGAUUCUGCUUUGCAAACAUCCUUUAUUCCUCCCUCUCAACACAUGAGAUUAGCAUAGCCACUAAAUAUGGCAUGGAAACGUUUCUGCUCAAGAAAUUAAGCUAAAUUUUUAUUUUGAUGGGAAAGUAUUUUUUAUUGAUUAAAUUUUUUUAUGAUAAAUAAAUAUAAAAUAAUUUAAAAAAUAUUUUUUAAAAAAUUACUUUUAAAAAAAUAAACAUAGCUGUUAGAUGACCGACCUCGCUGGUCAUAUGGUUUUUUUUGUGUGUGUGGCUAAAAACUACAGCAUUUCCCACAAAUUACGCAGCCCAAUCUUGAAGAAGUUCACUUUCUACCCAUUUUCCAGCCCACAAAGUUCCUUCACCUUAGGCAUGGUGGCAGGGACCUAAUUCUUAUGGCCCACAAAGUUUCUACCCAUUUGAUAACUGAUUUUGACUCUAAUUCUAUCGGAGCGUGUUAAAUCAUGAGUGUGAGAGAUGGAUCUGAACAGUCUAUAUUUUUAUGCAAAAAAUCAUGGAUACUAAUUUUAUGAUUAAAAAGUCAUUUAAUUUAAUGAGAUGAUAAGAGUCCAUUCGCAUCUAGAUAACUGAAUAAAAAACUAGAACCUUGAUUUCAAAAGUUGGAUAACAGUUUGUGUUCCGGAGACUGAAAAGGUAUAAUAAGAAUCAUGCGAAAAUCAUAAUACACGUAAAUAUAAAAUAUCGAAAGGAUUUCCUAAGGAUUAGUCCUCGAGGUUUCAGCUUUAAUACUAUAUAUGUAAUAGAUAUAUAGAUUGCGAUCCUCUCACAAAUUUUCUAUUAUUUUUUCAUAUUUCUCCUUUAGUUAAUUUUGUAUCUAUCAGGAAAAGACAAUCUCAUGGCUUGUUUUCUCUGAACAAGAAUUUCGCAACUUCUACUGUUAGAAUAAGUUGAGGGUUUUAACUUCAAUUACUGCCUAAAAAUAGAGCAGUUGAAAUUUAAUAAAUAAAUCUGCAUUCUAACACCGUUACAACAUAUAUUGUACGCAAUUUUAAUUGUGAUGUUUUGGAAACAUAAAUAGGAAAAGGUAAUAAUACCCUUUGAAGCUUAAAUGCAGGUAUAAAUGAAUAAGAUAUACCAUGAUAAUUGAAUAAAGCUUGAUAAAUAUAAAUAGAAUAAAAAAAAUAAAAAGAGGAAAAUCUGAUUUGAGAGAACCGGCAAGAGUGAAGAAAGAAAGAAAGAAAAAAAAAGAGAAAAGAGAGAAAGAUAAUUAAAGGAAGGAGAAGAGAGUAAGAAAAAAUAAAUUUAAAAUGUAAGAUUUACAUUUUAGUUAUGUAUAACUAUGUUAUUUAGCAUUGAUUUUGUGUUUUGUUGAAGAUUAGAAUUUUGAAGAAGCGGCAGCAUGAAGUCCAUGGCACUGCAGUAGUGUUCAGUUACUUGAGGUCAAGGAAAGUCUUGAGUGUUUGACAGUGUAUGAUCAUCUUCUACGAAUUACUCGCAUGUAAUAAAAAAGGAAAAGAAUCUUGAAAGAAGAAAUUGUAUGCAUGGUUUGUCCCCUGCUUUGUUUCAAGAAUAGUUGUUAAACAUCCCUUUAGAGUAAAGACGGCGAGGGCUUGUUUGGAAACGCUGCAGUUUCAAAACGAUUAAAAAAUAUAUAUAAAAACAGAAUUUAAAGAAAAAGAAUUCAAAAACCUUUAAAAACGCUUUGUGAAGAAGAAAACUAACACGCUUAUGUUCAUUUUCAAAGAGUAAAUCUUCCAAUGAGAAAACAUACCUUGUGGAAAAGGGAACCUGGCCUGCAGAAAGAAUAAAGAAUUCCAAAAUGGCUGCCUUUGUGGUGGGGCAUCCCGGUAGAACAGUACUAUUCUAAGGAGGGACUUUUCUUCUCAUUGUCUGUUUCUCCACAACAUUUGUUUUUGUCUUCAGGCCUCAUUGACUAAUGGCUUAGGAGGGAUAUUUUCCAGUAGGAUUAAAAAAAAAAAUACAAUAAAGACAGAAUUUUCCAAAAGAAUAAUUGGCUAUUUUCCACAGACGUCGGUCUAUAUUUUCCAAUAGGAUGUGGUCACCAUAAGAUAUCAACUAAGAAGUUGAGAGGUCGGAGUAAGAGCAUCACAAAAAGAAGAGUGGCUGAAAAUGACGUGGGAAAGGUGCUGCCAAAGCUCCCAUGUCCACGUUAAAUCUUUCCCAUUACUGAGAUAAUUAAAGAUAUCAUUUAGUAAUUUUGGGGUAUAGUGUAUUCUAAGGAGGGACUUUUCUUUUCCCUGUCUGUUUCUCCUAUUGGUUUCUUUCACAUCAUUUAUUUUAGUCUAAUUACAUCACAUUUGGGUUAAUUUUGAAUUACUAUUGAAGAAAGAUCAAAGAAAGGACACUCAAGACUUCAUUGACCUGAUCAUCUCGGAAUUGGUCAUAUGAUGAGUGUUUUCUGUCAGUCUCUCUUUGCUAUAUAUUGUCUACCAGGAAAUGAAGCUGCACAAUUCAAAAUUAACGGGAGAGAGUUGGUUUGGAGAAGGAGCUUCUUUGUAUACAUAUAUUAAGUUGGGUGGUGGUGUAUAGAAAAUGAUACUUCAGAGGAGGGUGUUUUUGCUGAUGAUGUUGCUGCUAGUGGCUGCAGUAACAGGAGCAACAGCAAAUCCAGAUGUGAGAGAUGGCUGCCAAGAAAGGUGUGGGGAUGUUAUUGUUCCUUACCCGUUUGGGAUUGGGGAACCAAGAUGUGCCAUGAAUGCAAACUUCUUUCUAGAUUGCAAUUCCACUGAUGAAGUACUGUGGUUUGGAAAGAACAUGCCUGCUCGCAAUAUAUCAUUGCUGAAUGGCACAGUCACUGCAGGAAUAUUUUAUAUAUCGUUCGAUUGCUAUAACAAGUCAGGGCUGCGGGACAGGCAUUUCAAUUCGUAUAUUACACUUGGACCAGCCUACACAUUUUCAGACUCUCGAAAUAUGUUCACAGCAGUUGGUUGUGAUACCAUUGGCACGGUGACCAACAAGGAGGGGACAUUCGGGGCGUCUUGUCUCUCUUUAUGCACUAGAAAUGUUAUCAUGUCAAAGGAUAAUCCCUGCUCAGGUUCUGGAUGCUGCCAGACCUCGAUUCCCAAGGGUCUCAAGUCUCUGGAUAUUACCAUUGGGAGCAAUUACAACCACACGAAUGUUUCCGAAUUUAACCCCUGUGGCUUUGCAUUCCUUGAGGACAAAGACUCCCUUGACCUGUCGGAUUGGCCACUCUCUCGUACUCCAAAACUUAAUCAUACAUCAAAUGUUGUGAUCGAAUGGGUAGCUCAAAACGAGACAUGCGAAGGGGCUCAGGCCAAUAAGAGUUCAUAUGCUUGUGGCAUCAAUACAAAUUGCUAUUACUCUGAUAAUGGUCAAGGAUAUCGUUGCGCAUGCAAUACAGGAUUCGAAGGAAACCCAUAUCUUGAACAAGGGUGCCAAGGUAAAGCGACAGAUGCCUUGAGUAGUUUCGUAAUUGAAAUUAAAAGAUUGUUCAUUCUUAUUCUCAGAUAUUGAUAUUGAAACAAAACAACUUCUAAGGUAAACUCAUAAUUUGUUAUGUUUGCAGAUAUUGAUGAGUGCAAGGAUCCCGAGAAAUACACAUGUCAUGGUAAAUGCCACAACACCUUUGGGGAUUACGAAUGUAAAUGUUCACUUGGCAUGCAUGGUGAUGGAAAAGUAGGUUGUCAAGGAUUUGCUAUCACUACCAUUAUAGCAGGUAAAUGUCCUUUGCAUUUUUCUUCUAUACCAGUGUUUGCUAUUGCUUGCUUUGACUGCUUCCAGAGCUCCAUCUUUAGUACUAAGAGAACCAACAAGCUCCUGUUAUUGGAUUCUGUUUUGCAUACAACCUUUAUUCCUCCCACUCAACACAUGAGAUUAGCAUAGCCACUAAAUAUGGCAUGGAAACGUUUCUGUUCACGAGAUUCAUCUGUUUUCCAUUGAUUUUCUGUAUGCAGUCAUAGGCGCAAUAGUUUCCCUGGUGAUUAUUUGUCUAUUGAUCUUCAUGAUCUUGAGUAAAAGAAGAAAGGACAAGAACUUCAGAGAAAAUGGGGGAACGGUUUUAAAGCAUCAAAGAGUAAGGAUUUUCAGUGAGGCAGAGCUGACAAAAGCAACCAACAAUUAUGAUGAUGAUAAAAAACUCGGGGAAGGUGGUUUCGGUUCAGUUUACAAAGGAGUUUUAGAAGACACUACAGCAGUUGCUGUCAAGAAGUCCAAGGGGGUGGACAAAGCUCAGAUGAACGAGGAUUUCCAACAUGAAAUCUGCGUUGUUUCACAGGUCAACCACAAGAACGUGGUAAAACUCCUGGGCCUGUGCUUGGAGACUAAAGUGCCAUUACUAGUUUACGAGUUCAUCUCAAAUGGAACCCUUUUCAAGCACAUCCAUGACAAAAGGUCACAGGUAUUGGCUUCCUGGAGCAAUCGUCUGAGGAUUGCAUCGGAGGCUGCUCUUGCGCUUGAUUAUUUGCACUCUCUAGCAGACCCUCCAGUUAUUCACGGAGAUGUCAAGUCGGUGAACAUUCUAUUAGACGAUAAUUACACGGCAAAGGUAGCAGAUUUUGGAGCUUCGGUGCUUAUUUCUCCAGGCCAGACCAAUAUUUUAGCCACGAAAAUACAAGGAACUUUCGGCUACCUGGAUCCAGAGUAUCUUAUGACGGGUAAUUUAACUGAAAAAAGUGAUGUCUAUAGCUUUGGGGUAGUUCUUGUGGAGCUUCUCACAGGAGAGAAGCCGAACUCAAAUGCCAAGUCAGGAAAGAAACGGAACUUUAUUCAGUACUUCAACUCAGCAUUGGAAAAUAAUGAUCUUUUUGGGAUUUUGGAUUUUCAAGCAGCUGAUGAAGCUGAGAUGGAUGAGAUAGAAGCUGUUGCUGAGCUUGCUAAAAGAUGUCUGAAUAGCAUAGGAGCAAACCGCCCAUCCAUGAAGGAAGUGUCAGAGGAGCUUGCUAAGCUGAAAUCCCUUAAUCAGAAAUCAUGGACCCAGCAAAAUAGCGAUGAGACAGAGCACUUGCUAGGCCAAUCAUCACAAUCUUUCCGCAACAACACAAGUCCUUCCACGAGUCAAUCCCAAACUGUCAUAUCCUUCGAGAUUGAAAACUUCACCAAUAGCAUUUAAAAUUGGUAUUUGCCGAGGAAAAAAGCUGCACAUUCAGAGGGCCAAGAAAUUGUUGUCAAGCGUGUACUUAAUAGGUUGUUUGAUUAAGUUGCAGCUUUAUUGUUAGUGAUUGAGUAUUAUGGUCUCUAUAAUCAUGCAAACAAACAAGUUUUUGGAUUUAUUCUUUUUUUUUUUUUUCAUCAUGUAAAGUAAAAAUUAUGGGUUUAUACAAGAUAAAGAUUGAUAAGCAUGUUUUUAUUUCUUUUACUCUAUGCUUUUUAAUGUAUUUUGAACUUAUAUGAGUUUAUUGGAAGUUAUUUUUAUGAGUUUGGCAUGCAGAAGAGACUUCGUAAAUUAAUCAUUAAAAAAUUAAUAAGAAUUUCUGCAUUUUAUGCUUUGGACCUAGCUUCUUGUGACAGUUUUUUUCACCAAGUUAGAGUUCCCAAAUGAGAACAUGAGUUUAAUCUAAGUUGAAGUACACAUGUCAAGCUUUCCAGGAAUGUAUCAUGGGCAAAAACUCGAUCUCAUUUGGAUAUCUAAUCAAACCUAUAAACUCGGGUCAAAAUUCUACUCACAGCAGGAUUCUCUGCUUUCACACUAGAUAUUCAAACGAGAAUAUCUUGAGCUUCAGAUAUCAAAAUCAGGAGAUUCAAAGCCCAAAUUCAUCUACACAUCUAGUACUACAACUUUUAUGAGGGAUUCCAAUUCAGCUAAAAUCAUUUUCAAUGCCAAACUCCAGACACAAUCUGAAGGACGAGAUGGGUUUCCUACUCUGAUAAGGAAACCAACAGUGUCGAGCAUCCUACUACAACUGAUAAUCUGAUAUAAAAACAGUGGGCCUUAGGACCCAAGAAAGAUGCAUAUCAAGCCUUUAACACACUAUGAAUGAAUGAAUACAACUAUGAUGGUUGGAUAUUACAAGAAACCAAGUAAAAAAAAAGUCUAAGUUGUAGCAGAGUUGGAAUUACAACAGAAUUGUUACAACAACAGAAUCAAUUUUCAACACAAAAAUCUGAUAGAUUUAUCCAAUCUUAAAGACUAGAUAAAGAAGGAACGAAUUUAGCAUCAUGAAGAACCCUAAUUAGUCUAAGAAUCCUUAAGAUUUCAACAACAAAGGGGGAGGAUAAAAAGAGCAGAACACAACUAAAACAUGAUCCGAAAAACAUUCAUAUCUUCUCUGCUUUUGUCAAUUUUCCAGCAACUAUGAAUUAAACUCUUGAAUUUGGUUCAAGAGGGAUAUACAUCAUCUCCAUUAACACGUUGUGAGAAGUAAAGUUAUCAUUGUAAUUCUUUCGGAUUCAAGUAUUUAUGUUUUCUUGUUCAGAAUUAUGUUAUUGAUUGUUAUUCAAGCUUAUUGAAUUGUUUUGAGAUGCCAUGUAUGCUUUCUAGUUUCUUUCAAUCUGUAAUUAUUGUUAGGAACUAAAGUAAAAAGCAAAAACAAUUAAUUUGAUUUUUGCAACUCUUAUCUUGAAUUAUUAGGGAAGAAUAAACUAAGUUAAAAUUGUUAAGCUUUUGAAUGUUUGCUUAGAAUAAGUGCGUAGAUUUUAUUCCUAAUACUACUGCCAAGUGAAUGUGUCACGACCCGAUUCCUGGAUCCAUGACCGGCAUAUAGGCAAGGUUCCCCUUCAAGGUUCCAUACCUAUGUGAACCCAAACUUACAUACAAACUUAUCCUUCGAAUAACUCAAUCAGAGUUCAACAUAGCACUAAUAACAAAAAUAACUUCAUAAUAAUUUGAUUGUCUUAAUACGAGAGUUAAUACAAAUUCAUAGUUGCAGAGCACUAACUAUAUAUAUUUAUAUAAAGUACUAAUUUCAACAAAAGAGCAGGUUCUGAAGGUUCAACAAAAAUAACCCGCUAAUAAGCUAUAAGCUUGAAAAGAUAAAUAAUGAGAGGGUAAGUUUCAUAACUCAAUAAAUAGAUAAUGUUUAACGUACACACACAGGGUUAUACAUCAAUGAGAAAUAUAUAUACAAUUAUGGCUUAGGUUCUAAUAAGAAGGUCUCUCAAAUAGGUCAUAACAAGAAUAUCAUAAGGUAAAGCUCGUUAGAAAAUCAAAAUGCAAUGAGCAUGAGGCUCCGUACUGUGGGAUGAUCAGUCCAAACAGGUUGGUGAGAAAUUGAUUAGAGAGCUUUUCUUAAUUAAUAUACUCGUAAUCUCAUCAAUUUCCCUCGACUUUAAAAGAUAUCGAAUUUAUUUGCUUGAUGUGAAAGAAUAUUUAUUUUACUUCGAUGAUCAACAUAUUUAUAGAAAUAGAUUUAUGGAUCUUGAACUGAUUUAACGACAUUUCAAUUUAUUAUUUUUAGAAUUAUUGCUUCUUGAAUUUUUCAUUCAAAUCCCCCGUUCUUUCUCAUUUUGGUAUACUGUAAGAAGAUUAAACAAAAUUUCUUUUGAGUUCAACUUAGUUUUCAUGAUUAUACUAUAAAUUUAUUUUGUUUGUGGUAAUUAAAUCAGAAUUAUAUAUUAGUAGUUUCAACAACCGAUCAAAGAUCAUAAUAAAGCAAUCAAUUUACCUUGCAUGGUAGGUUUUUCUGAAGGACUUGCAUUAUCAUGGAAAGUGAGUGAUGAUUUGCCUAGCAAAUCUCUAUCUCUUCACUGUUUUUCUGAUCCCGCAAGUCUUCAUGGAGUGCUGCUAUAUAUACAUCUUUUUUGCAAGCUCAGGAACGAAAUCUAGGAAUAAUGUUUUUUUUUUUUAAAAAAAAAAGCUAGGACAAAACCUUUUUGAAGAUGCUCAACCAUUAAAAUUUUAUAUAAAGCUUUAGAAAUGAAAAAAUUAAUUUUUUUUCAUAAAAAUAUAAUUUUUUAGAAAUAAGAAAAUUUCAAAAUUGCUUAUUAAUUAACUUGUUUUUGCAAUAUAAUAAUGAUUAAUGACUCAAUAGUAUAAUAUGUAUAGAUAUUCAUAUCUAUUAUAUUAUAAUUUAUAGAUUUUUUAUAAUUGAUGAAAAUAUUCUUUUACAUAUAGUGACAUAUUAAAGAGUAGGGUUAUAAAAAUUGUUUAGGAACACGUACAAUUUAUAUUCAAAAAGAAAAUAGAAGUUUUUGUUGAUGUUUCUUAUUAUUUUUCUUUUUAUUAAUGCGGGUUAUACCAUCUUCCCAAGAGACUAUUAAUGUGAACAUGACCAAUCAUGAAUUGUUAUUGUUAUUAUUGCUAUUAUUAUUAUUUUUUGCCUUGAGAAAUGCAGUUGUUAUUGGAGUCUUGUUACUGGUUAUCGGUAUUUGGUGGCUAUACAAAAUCAUGGAGAAAAGAGCAUCAAACGGAAACAAAAGUUUUUCAUAGUUGAUUCCAUUAAAAAUAUCAAAAUUAUUCUAAACCCAAAUUUAUUUAUCAAGCCCAUGCCAAAUUUACUGUUUAUAAUUCAAAAAAUAAAGAAUCAGAAAAGAACUUAUCUUGUUAUCAGUCCCAUAAAUAGCCCCAAAACAAAAAGCCUUCACAUCCAAGUUUAAGAAAUUUCCCAGAAAAAACUCCAAAAGUCACCUGCUUGUUUAAACAUUAUUUUUCUUUUAUUUUAGUAGAUAACUUUUAUUUUUUUUUAUUAUUUUAGAAAUUUUUUUCCUAUACUUGGGUUAUGAAUUGUUUUGGGCUCAUUGAUGAUCUUCAGGCCUUUUAUAUCUAUGGAUCUUACAACCCAUCUUCCAAAAAUAAAUUAAAAGUUUUUGCUUUUGAUUUUUUUUUUUAUUAUUAUUUUAAAAGAAAGGAAUGCUGGUUAUACCAUCUUCCCAAAGACACUUAAUGACCAAUCAAGAAUUGUUUUUUUUUUUUUUUUUUGAGAAAUGCAGUUGUUGUUGGGGUUGUUGGAGUGUUGUUACUGCUCAUUGGUGGCUGGUUGCUGUACAGAAUCAUGGGGAAAAGGAAGAGCAUCAAACCGAAACAGAAGUUUUUCAGACAGAAUGGUGGUCUAUUGUUAUCUUUUUUCUUCUUUUUAUUAUGAAGAGGAUGUUUGAACUCAAGAUGUUUUACGUGAGAAAUGUUACUAACAUGAAAUGAGUUGUGAGUCGUAGGCUCUACGAGUCCUCCUUGUUGAAUCAUGCGAGACCUGCUAUCAAAAUUGAUGAAAGCAGGAAAAACAAAACAGUUGCGUGGUAUGCUUCUGACAGCCACAGACUGGUGAAAAAAAUUGACAAUUCAUGGAGUCACUCCUGAUGAACGUCUCCUCCUGUAUCUGUACUGACCAUUUUCAAGAUUAAUCAAAAGAAAAAGCGGAGUUAUCAGUGUCACACUGAGGAGGAGGCCCUCUCUCUGAUUACGACAUUCUUCAAUUAUCAUUGUAAUAUGUCCCUGUCAUAUCUGUAGAAAAUAAAGGUACCCACUUUCCGGUGUCCCCUUUAUUUUUUUAUUUUAAUCUUUUUCAACUGAUAGACACUGAUUUUCAUCAUCACAGGACCUCCAAGCCACCAUAGGCUUUAAGCCCAGUUACUCUCUGAUUAUAUUACAAUAGAAAUAUCAGGGUAAUCAAAACCCAGCAAAGUGACAGUAUUUCUUGUCAAGGCAUUCAAGAUUACUCGAAAAAAAGUGUAGAUAUCGAAUGUUUUUGUAUUUGCUAUUAGAUUUAUUGUUUUACUUGGAAAUCAUAAUUUUCUAGAGUUACAGCAACAAUUAUCCUCAGGUGAUCAAGGUGGUAAUUCCAAAACCAAAGUAUUUAGCUCAGAGGAGUUGGAAACUGCCACAUAUGGUUUCAAUGUGAAUAGGAUACUUGGUCAAGGUGGCCAAGGUACCGUGUACAAAGGGAUGCUAGCAGAUGGAGUAAUUGUUGCUGUCAAAAGAUCCACAAUGGUGGGUGAAGAAAACCUUGAAGGAUUCAUCAACGAGGUCUGUAUUCUUUCACGAAUCAACCAAAGAAAUAUAGUCAGGCUACUCGGUUGCUGUUUGGAGGCAAAAGUUCCUCUUUUAGUUUAUGAAUUUAUUCCUAAUGGAACUCUUUACGAGUAUCUCCAUCGCCAAAAUGAGGAGUUCCCUUUAUCAUGGGAAAUGAGAUUACAGAUUGCUGCUGAAACUGCCGGAGCACUUUGCUAUCUUCACUCAGCAGCUUCCAUUCCAAUUUAUCAUCGCGAUAUAAAGUCCACCAACAUACUCUUAGAUCACAAGUAUCGAGCAAAGAUUGCUGAUUUCGGGACUUCAAGAUCACUCUCUGUUGAUCAAACUCAUUUGACGACUAAUGUGCAAGGCACCUUUGGUUACUUGGACCCAGAAUACUUUUGGUCCAGUCAGUAUACAGAUAAGAGUGAUGUUUAUAGUUUUGGAGUGGUUCUUGCUGAGCUCUUAACUAGACAAAAAGCAAUUCUUACAAACGAGUCACAAGAACGCAAAAACUUGGCUGCACAUUUUGUUCUUUUGAUGGAAGAGAACAGAAUUUUUGAUAUUGUUGAUGCUCAAAUUAAGGAGCACUGCCCCAAGGAGGAUGUCAUCGGUGUAGCUAAUAUUGCAAUGAGAUGCUUGAAUUUGAAUGGAAAAAUGCGACCGACAAUGAAACAAGUCACAUCAGAGUUGGAGAGGAUCAUUCAAUUGUCACAAAAUAACGAAGAAGCUGAGAGCAUCACGGCUCAAGCAAUCAGUGCGUGGGAUGAUGCUUCUACAUCAAUUACUUGCACCAGUUUUCAAGUUGAUCAAGCUCUAUCAUCAUCAGACGUCGAACCUUUGGUCCCUUUCAAGACUUGGUGAUCCAUUAAUAAGAAACGUGUCUCGACUCUGCAAGUUUUUCCUUUUUCUUUUUUCCUAAUGUUCUUGGAUAAACUUAAGACCAUUUAUUUCUGUAUUUGUUUUGCGAAAUGCUUUAAGCUAUUGCUGUCACUGUUUUUUCUUCUAUAUAAAUCUUGCUCACUUUCUCCUUAAUCUUAUUAUUUCUCUUCUCAUCCUGGGAAAAUAUAGCAAAUCACAAGAAGAAAUGGAGUGAUCUUGGUGUGCCUAGAAGGGACAUCUUUGAAUGCUUGAGUUUCUGGGUCAUCCACUGAAGCAAAAUGGAAACUGGUUUUUUAUAGUCCCUCCUCAGAUUGUUGCUAAUGGCGCCAAAGGCUGGGGUUAUUGUCUUGUAGGCUAAUUUAUGGGUAAAAGUCCCAAGCUCUACUCUGUUUCUGCUAUGGCAAGCACCCUAUGGUGGCCGGAUGUUCCUGUUGAAGUUUACUAUGGACCGAAAGGUCAUUCCUGAGAUGUGAUAUAAUUUUGAUCCCGGUGAUUUAGGACGUUCCUAGACCACUUCAACGUAGCAUUUAAUUUGGACUUUGUGAUUGUCUGUCUUAGGUUCACUUAUUGAAGGACUUGCAUUCUCAUGGAGAAGAGUGAUGAUUUGCCUGGCAAAGAUUAGAUCUCUUCACUAUUUUUCUGACCCCACAAGUAUUCAUGAGGUGCUAUUAGCCUAGAUACUUACUUCAAGCUUGGCCUUUUUACAUCGCUAUUGCUACAUCUUUUUGCAAGCUCAGCAACCAUUUCUAUCUCCUCCGGUUCUUCUUUAGCUACCUCAAAAUCUAAAAUUUUAAGGAGAUGAUUGUUUUCCAACGAUGAGAUGAAAAUGAUGUUACGCUUCUCUCCAGGCAUUAGAGUUUGGCUUCUGUCCUGUCAGAAGCUCCACAAGAACCACUCCGAAGCUGAAGACAUCACUCUUCACUGUUAAAUUACCUGUCAUAAGACACUUACUAUCCAGGUAGCCAAAAUUCCCCUGUAUUUUUGUGGCUAUAUCAGCUUCACCUGGUGAAAUCAGCUCUGAAGCUCCAAAAUCAGCUCCGGAAAUAUGUUCACUGUCUCGACAUCCCCGUGAACGAUUGGAGGGUUUGCUAAAGAACGCAAAUAAUCAAGUGCAAGUGCAGCCUCAGCAGCUAGCCUCAAACGGCUUGUCCGAGUUCUCAACACUUGAGACUUUUAUCAUAGAUAUGAUGAAAAAGGGUUCCCUUUGAGAUGAAUUUGUAAACUAGUAAAGGCUCUUUGGUCUGCAAAAAUAGUCUGAAAAGCUUUUGACCACAUUCUUGUGAUUGACUCGUAGCCAAUUUCAUGCUGAAAUUCCUCGUUCAUUUGAGCCUUGUCUACCUACUCCCUUAAACUUCUUGACUGCAAGCUGGGUAUAAUCUGGUAAAACUCCUUUGUGUUAAACCACCUUGGCCAAGUUUCUGAUGAUCAUCUAAUUUCUCAGUUCUCAUACUAGGAGUAAUGUGUGUGUAUAGGGACGGAUCAAUUAAUAUAUAAUCUACAAUCAUGGAGAAAAACUUAUCAAAACUGUUAAUAGAUGUAUCUUUGAAGCAUAAGAGGUGAAGUUAUCUAAUCACAAGAAUCUCAAAUCCAAAUGUUUGUUUAUGAAGAAGUUAUUCUGCAUUUUAAGAAAUUCAGCAUGGGGUAGUAGCUGAAUCAAAGGAUAACUGCAGAUUUACAUGUAGAAUCCAAGAAUUAAUAUGUAUUAGCUGUCCAGCAUGUUUGACACUGUGUUUUAAAAGCGUUUUAAAAAAAAUAUAUUUUUAUUUUAUUUUGAAUUAAUAUGUUUUUUAUGUUUUCAAAUUAUUUUGAUGUGCUGAUCUUAAAAAUAAUUUUUAAAAAAUAAAAAAAAUAUUAUUGGCAUAUUUUUUUAAAUGAAAAACACUUUAAAAAACAACAGCAAUCACAUUUUCAAACACGCAACCGGAAGCUAUUUUAGUCCUGAUAGUAUUGUCUUGAUGAAAGUUGACUGCAUUUCUAAACACUAAAAAAAAAAUAGAAAAGCUGCUUUACUUUAAAAUGAGACAACCUUUCAAAACCUUUUCUUUUCUUUUUUAUUUCUAUACUAUUCGGAGUGACACAAUCUUUUAAAAUAUGAUUUUCCAAGAUUUUUCUUCAACUAUACUAUUUUCCAAAUAAAUUUUAUUUUUCUUCAACUGUACUAUUUCCCCAAAUAAGUUAGUACCUAAUCAUGCAAUCUAUCACAACUCCUAUGUUAUGGCGUGCAUGCAAUGCAUAGACGUAGCAAAUCAACAAUCUCCAUACUAGCUGAAACUUCAAACAAAAAUCUGUUCAAAAAAAGAAAAACGAAGCAAAAAUCAUGACUCAGCUAAGUGUCUUGUAACAUUAAAUGACACGCUGAAACCAAUUGUUCUUCAAAAGCUGAUUUUCUAGCUAGCAUUGACAGGCUUAGUAGUGAGUCCAAAAUCAUAGGGGAAGAGGGGAUCGUAAUGAGAGUCACCAACAUUCAUAGGGAGCUGAUCAACGGUCUUGAACCAAGUCCGGGGCAGCUUUCCAGUAAAUCCAUAAUCCCCGAAAAGCACAUCUGCUACUCCUUGGCCUUCAGUGCCUGGCAACCAGGCAGCAACAAGAACAUCGAUUUGUGACUCAUAGGGCUCAAUUACUACUGGACGGCCAGAUACUGUGACCACAACGCACUUAACAUUGCCGCAGACAUUGAGGAUCGUACUUGGACCUGGUUCAGCUAUGGUCAGGAUCAAACUGUCUCCGGCUGUCUCGGCAUAAGGAGUCUCUCCGACCACAACAAUGGCAUAAGAGAAGUUGUUGGACUUGACGAAAUCAGCAUCAGGGUUCUUGCUGUAGACGAUUUCUGUGCUUGGAUCAGCAGCAGCUGAGAUACCACAUAAGAUGGUGGUUCCUGCUCAUUGUGCGAUAGGACAAGUUCCAUCAAUACUGCUACUAUUAUAUUUGAAUUCAAGAGAAGCGUGCUUGAAAUGGAAGCAAAAAGGAGAAGCAUUUUAAUUAUACCAGCAGUGUAAUUGUUGCCAUCAACUCCUUGCCAAGUUGCAGUCCAUCCUCCACAUUGAUAGCCCAAAUUGUUGGCAUGGCUUCCGGCUACAAGGAUCCUAGAUGCUUUUUUAGGGAGGGGUAGAACUGGAGCAUCCGCGUUCUCUCCAUUCUUCAACAGCACGAGUGACUUCCUCACAGCUUCCCUUGCCAAAUCUCUGUGAGCCUGUUUUCAUACCAAGUGGAGAGUUUUCAGACAAAUAAGUAAUCUCCUGAAAUGGGAAAGGAAUGCUUAGAUUGAGACAUAUAAAGCUACCUGGCUUCCGAGCUGGUUAACCAAGGUCUCAUCAGCUAAGGGAGUCUCAAAUAGACCUAAAGUGAAUUUCACUCGCAAAAUCCUCCUGGCAGCAUCAUCAAUACGGUCCAUGGAAAUGUAAUUGUUAUUUACUAAGUCAGUCACAAUAUUGAUGAACUCAGUAUGGUUGUAUGGAACCAUGAUCUGAAACACACACGUUAAAGCUUCAAUGUCAAGAAAAGCAGCAGCUCUAAUCAACAAGAACAAAAAACAUUUUGUUUGACAAGAGUAGGCAAGUUUCUGCUAGUCUUUGAGAAUAGAGACGUAGGAAUCAACUAACCAUGUCAAUUCCGGCUGAAAUUCCUUUCAGAACUGACUCUGUGUAGUUUGAAUGAGAUGGGUAAGUAAUCCUGUCAAUACCCUCCCAAUCAGAGAUGACAAAACCCUGUGACGUUCAAAAAAUUAAGGCAAAAGGUUAGAAUUGUUUGCUUUUCAUAAUAUUCUAUGACUUCGUUUUGGAUACAUAAUUUAACAAAAAGCAUCUUAAAUAUUUAUAUAUCAUCUUUAAUAAAAAUAUAUAUUAAAUAUUUAAGGCUUUUUGGUAAGAAUAGAUAUUUCCUUUAGUUAUUUAUAUUUUAUUCUAUUUAAUUUAAGAGAAAAUAUUAUCUUUAAUUGUUACGUUUUUCUUAUUUAAUCUAAAAAAUUAAAUAUUAUCUUUAACAAUAUUUUUUAUUAAAUAUUUAGAGUAUGCUUGGUUUUAUAAUGGGCAUUCUCAAAUUUAAAUCUGCUUCUCAAGUUGGUUUUGGCAUGUAGGUUUAAUUUACAGGGCAAGAGGAAACACAAUCAAUGAAGCAGUUAUCAGGGGGUCAGAAAACUGUGGUAGCCCUGACAUUGAUAUUUGCCAUACAACGAUGUGAUCUUGUUUUGGCUAUUGGUAUGGAGUCUAAAUGUAGAUUUUGCAUUACCACCGUGCCCUUCAUCUAUUGCUGCCACCCAUUGCAGCGAGUUGAUCUUUAGGUUCCUGGAGUAGAAGUAGUUAUUCAUAUCUAACGGGAAGCUGGUAAUAAUUAAAUGCAUCUACAGAUAAUAUGUCCACUUAAGCUACUACUGGUUUGAAUAAUUUGACUGACAGUAAGAUUUUGUUGAAUGCUUGAGUUUCUGGGCUAGACAAUGGAUUGUUCAGGCCAAGCAAGAAAACUCGUUAGGGGGAUAGGCUGACGAGAAUUGGGACUGUUGCGGAAUUUAGUAGCGCAGACAAUGGCUUCCUGCACACAGAUGCGAAUUCAGCAGCACGCAACAGCUUGUGCAAGUUGUUGGUUCGACUUGGCACGAUCUUAAACUUAGACAAACGACUGUCCAAGGCAUGCGAGAAACUCAACAGAUGAUGCAGCAAGAACUGGCAGUUAGGGCUGCCAAGUGGACAUGUAAAAUGUUGGUUAGUGGCAGUUAUUGAUAUCCAAAAUUAUAGAAUCAUGGAAGCUGAAAGUAUAGGGGCUUACCAGGGGUUGCUCUCAACCCACUAAGAUCAUGGAAGAUCAUGGGGGGGGGGGGAAACUACCUACUAUUUGGUAGAUAAUGGAGUUAUUCAUGGGUGAACAUGGAGGAAAACUACCCAUUAUUUGGUAGGUAAUUAAUGUGCAUCCACUUGAAUACGCGGCAGUGGCAGUGGUAGUGGCAAGUGUUCCUUGUUUUUCAACUAUCCUAUAUGUAAUUUAUUAAUCAAUCCAUCCAUCUACCCAAAAGUCCAAAACAAUAACUUGAAUUACCUUGAAGUAAUCAGUUCGCGGAAUGAUGCUUCUACAUCAAUUACUUGCAGCAAUUUUCAAGUUGAUCAAGCUCUAUCAUCAUCAGAUGUCGAACCUUUGGUCCCUUUCAAGACUUGGUGAUUCAUUAAUAAGAAACAUGUCUCGACUCUGCAAGUUUUUCCUUUUUCUUUUUUCCUAAUGUUCUUGGAUAAACUUGAGACCAUUUGUUUCGGUAUUUGUUUUGCGAAAAUGCUUUAAGCCAUCGGUGUCACUGUUUUUUCUUCUAUAUAUAUCUUGUUCACAUUCUCUUAAUCUUAUUAUUUCUCUUCUCACCUUGGGAAAAUAUAGCAAAUCACAAGAAGAAUUGGAGUGAUCUUGGUGUGCCUAGAAGGGACCUCUUUGAAUGCUUGAGUUUCUGGGUCAUCCACUGAAGCAAAAUGGAAACUGGUUUUUUAUAGUCCCUCCUCAGAUUGUUGCUAAUGGCGCCAAAGGCUGGGAUUAUUGUCUUGUAGGCUAAUUUAUGGGUAAAAGUCCCAAGCUCUCCUCUGUUAUGCUGGCCGGAUGGUCCUGUAAAAAUAAUAUUAAGAUAGUGCAAGCGCAUUUCAAAGAAAUUAGAGAAUUUGAGAUCAAUAAGUUGAUUUAAAUUUAACUAGAUGAUAAAAGAAUACGCAACAACGGCAAACAAAUAAUUCUAAAAAAAACAAAACCUCGAAACCAUUAGAAAAAAUUCAUAGAGGCACAAAAUCAGAUAAAAAGAGAUAAAAAAAAAACUAAACCAACUCGAGAUAGUGUAAUAAAUAUCUAUAUUUAUAUAUAUAUAUAUAUAUAUAUAAUAAUGGGCAAAACCCAUAACCCAAGUUAUGAGAUCGAGAUAAUUCUACAUAAAAAAAAAAAAAAACAACAGAGUCAAUUUUUAAAAACAAAACACUAAUGUUGAAUGGUGAUGAAAUAAAUAAUAAGGGGCAAGUCAACCUGUGGUUUGCCGAAAAACUCAUGAUCCAGGUCAUAAGAUCGGGAUAAUUCUAUAGAAAAAAAAUAAUUAAAAAAAAAACAAUGAUAAAAUUGAAAAAAAAAAUAAGUAAAAAAAAUGUCAACCAACAUCAACUUUUUAAAAAUGUGACCUGGGUUAUUAAACCAGAAGCAUCAUGCAUGGAAAAAUAGUGAAGUAUAAUCCCUAGCAAAUUAAAUGUUGAAGAAUGAAAUAAGGGGUAAAAAUUAACAACACAUAAUGAUCUAAAUUAAAAAAUGGUAAUUAAAAGAAUGAUGGUGAAAAUCAAAAUAAAAAAUAAAUUAGAGGGCAAUUAAAAUUUUUUAAAUGGAGGGUUAAAUUUAAAAUAAAAAUAACUCUAAUAAAAAAAAUAAAAGAAUGAGGGCCAAUGUUUUUUUUUUUUAAAUAACAUACCAUGACUUGGAUUGAAAGAUAAAAUUAAAAACUAAUAAAACUUUUAUAAAUUAAAGGGCCAAUGAAAAAAUUAGAAAUUAAAAAAAUAAGGAUCAAAUAAAAAAAAUAUUUGACAAAUUAUAAUUAAAGGAAUACAUUGAAAAGAAAUAAAACUUGUGUAAAAAGGCCAAGGAAAAUACUAAGAAAUUAAAGAGAAAGGACACAAAGUUUUGAUUGGAGGGUUAAGAUUGAAAGAAAAAUAACUCAAAAAAAGGACCAAAUUGAAAAUAAGAACACAACAUAAACUUGAAUUGAAUGAUAAAAUUUAAAACCAAUAAAACUUUUAUAACAAGGCCAAGAAAAAAAGAAUCAAAAGAAUAAGGAUUGAAUUUAAAAAUAUAAUAUAUAUAAAUUUGAAUUGAAGGCCCAAAUUGAAAAGAAAUGAAACUUUUACAAAAAAACUAAGGAUAAAAAUUAAAAGAAAAGGAUUGAAGUAGAAAUAUAAAAAACCAAGAAUACUAAUCUGCAAUUUAGGGAGGAGAUGAGAGAAAAGAAAGGGAAAAAAAAAUGUCUAUCCAAAGACAAAUAAUCCACUAUUUGAUGACAUACUUCACAUUAAGAGGAAGAAGAUGUGGUGACACAUUUAACAAUAUUUUUUAUUAAAUAUUUAGAGUAUGCUUGGUUUUAUAAUGGGCAUUCUCAAAUUUAAAUCUGCUUCUCAAGUUGAUUUUGGUAAGUAGGUUUCAUUUACAGGGCAAGGGGAAACACAAUCAAUGAAGCAGUUAUCAGGGGGUCAAAAAACUGUGGUAGCCCUGACAUUGAUAUUUGCCAUACAACGAUGUGAUCUUGUUUUGGCUAUUGGUAUGGAGUCUAAAUGUACAGGACUGCUGUUGGAAGUAUUUUGCCUUCAUGUCGCGCUUCUAGAUGCUUUCUCCCAUUUAAAAUUCAUGCACAAGCUGUAAUAUUCCACGAAAAUCAAAGAACAGUUCGAGCACGUGCUCUCAAUGAAGGGGCAGCGUGAAGACCACGGCACUGCAGUUUAUAAUAAUAGGCCUCCACAAGUAGCAAAUAAUAAAUUAUGAUGUAAUUGUAAAUCCUUCUAAAAUUGUUAAGUUGUUGACGUGGACGUAAAAAUAUUCCAAAAUGGCUGCCAAUGCAAAGGUUGGGUUAUUCCAAGGAGGGACUUUUCUUUUCAUUGUCUGUUUGUCCUAGAGCUCGGCUGGUCCUGCUGGAGUUUACUAUGAUAAAGUCAUUUUUUAGUAGCCUGCCUUGUUUGUUUUCGAUGAAGCUACACGGUAGGUUCCAGUGGUGUUUGGCCAGUUUUUUUAUGCUUAUGUUUUUGAAGACAACACCCAAGCCCUGCUAAAAUGUAUCCUUUCACUGCAAUGGAGGAAGGAAACAGUGCGUGCAUGAUCACUACAUCUUGUUAGAGAAUCAAUUCAACUUAAUUUCGGAAGGUUUUCAAUUUCAAUUUUAAGUAUAACAUAUCGGUGUAGUUUUCAAUCUCUUUUAAAUAUAUAUUAUGUUAUUUUUUUAAGUAUAACAUUUUCAUGUUUGAUGUCUAUAUAUGCCAUUUUCAUUUUAUUUCUCGCAUUUACUAGCUCUAUUCGUCCCUGCUUGUGGUCUUGAGCCCACCGCCCCUGCAGCUAGCUAGGUGGAAUCCAAUGUUAAUUUCUAGGUCUAGUGUCACUUAUUUUAAGCUUGAUGUUAACAUCCAUUAUAAUAUAUAAAAAUGGUUAUGUUGACGAAACAUGAAACCUUCAACAGUUCAUUCACCCAACCCAACUUUAUAAUGAUAAGACAUGCAUGUUUUUAAUGGCAUUUAAUACUAUGCUAUUUUUUUAAGUAUUACAAAAUAAUUGGCCUCAUGGGACCACAGACGUCGGUCCACACCAGUUACAUGCCAGCGGAUAUGGUCACCAUAAGAUAUCAACGAAGAAGUUGAGAGGUCGGAGUAAGAGCAUCACAGAAAGAAGAGCAGUACCUGAACCAAGAGGGUUUUUUUUACUACUGUUAAGUUUUAAAAUCGUAACCUAUUGUAAUUGUCUUGUAGGUUAAUUUAUGUGUAAAGUCCCAAGCUCUCCACUGUUUCUGCUGUGGCAAAUACCCUAUGAUAAAGUUAUGUUCAUACUCGGAAGUAAAUUUUCCAAUGACAUAACUUUGUUAAUACCAUAUCCAUUUUUAUUGAGGAAAGGGAACCUUAGCUUGCAGAAACAAUAAAAUUUUCCAAUAUGGCUGCCUUUGUGGGGUAUACUGUAUUCUCAGGAGGGACUUUUCUUUUCCCUGUUUUUUUCUCCUAGUGGUUUCUUUCACAUAAUUUAUUUUAGUCUUCAUGAUCCAUUAAUUACUAGGGCCUCAUUGACUCAUGACUUCGGAUGGGAUGUUUUCCGAACUUGAAAGAAUAGAAAACUAAAUAAAAUAAAUCUAAUUACAUCACAGUUGGGUUAAUUUUGGAUUGCCAUGGAAGAAAGAUCGAAGAAAGGACUCGCAAGACUUCAUUGACCUGAUCAUUUCGGAACUGGUCAUAUGAUGAGUGUUUUCUGUCAGACUCGCUUAGCUAUAUAUUGUCUACCAGGAAAUGAAGAUGCACAAUUAAAAAUUAGCGGGAGAGAGUUGGUUUGGAGCUUCUUUGUAUCCAUAUAGUAAGUUGGGUGGUGGUGUAUAGGUAAUGAUGCUUCAGAGGUGGGUGUUUUUGCUGAUGAUGUUGCUGCUAGUGGCUGCAGUAACAGGAGCAACAGCAAAUCCAGAUGUGAGAGAUGGCUGCCAAGAAAGGUGUGGGGAUGUUAUUGUUCCUUACCCGUUUGGGAUUGGGGAACAAAGAUGUGCCAUGAAUCAACACUUCUUUCUAAAUUGCACUUCUGCUGAUGAACUGUGGUUUGGAGAGAACAUGCCUGCUCGCAAUAUAUCAUUGCUGAAUGGCACACUCACUGUUGGCAUUGAUACAUCGUUCAAUUGCUAUGACAAGUCAGGGCUGCAGUCGGGGCUUUUCAAUCAGUCUAUCUCACUUGGAUCAGGCCCCUUCACAUUUUUAUGCUAGACCAAGCAUGAAGUAUCUGACGAGUUAUCUAGGCUAACAGCACUUCAAGAAUUGUCUCCAGGAUCCUGCAAGCCCAACAUGUUUCUGGAUUUAUCCUUCCUUUUUUCAUCAUGUAAAUAAAAAUCAUGGGCUUACAGGAUAAAGAUCAUAAUAAAGCGAUUAAUUUACCUUGCAUGGUAGAUUUUGUGGAACCAUGGACCGAAAUGCCAUUCCUGAGAUGUGAUAUAAAGAUCAUAAUAAAGCGAUCAACAUGAUUUAGGACGAUGCUAGACCAAUUCAACGUAGCACUUAAUUUGGACUUUGUGAUUGUAGCGGACUUUCUGGACUUCAAUAAGGAACCCAUCUUAGGUUCACUUAUUCAAGGACUUGCAUUCUCACGGAGAAGAGUGAUGAUUUGCCUGGCAAAGAUUAUAUCUCCGUUAGAGAUGAAUUGCUGUAGAAGCAGAGCGAGAGAGAGGAGAGGGCAGGGUCAUUGUUAGUAGAAGCAGAGCGAGAGAGAGGAGAGGGCGGGGUCAUUGUUACAGAGUUGAUGUGAUUCUACAUCAAGAAAUCGUGAUUUAGAUAGAGAACGAGCAGUUGCAGCAGCAAAAGUAUGGGGUGAAAGUUGGAGAGAGAAAAAGCGGGCGAAUGCAAUGGGUAGUUUUGAUGGUACAAAUGGGUGAUCCCACAAGUGCAAUUGUUGUUUGGUUUUGGUCUUUUAGGCAAAAUGUGUUGUAUGCUUCUGAGGGUCAUCAUGAAAAAAGAGAAGUUGCACAUACAUCAUCCUUCAUUGUCUUGGUUUCAAUUUCCCAUCAAGGGAAUAAGACUUCAUGUAUCAACUUUGACUGUUGUUUGUCCUGUAUCAUUCUUGUAGUUGAGUAUGGAAAUGAAUUCUUCAAUUAUAUGGUUGAAGGAGAGAGACACAGUUAAAGAAGAGUUCAGGGGAAAGGGUAGUGUUCCAUUCCAUGUGAUUUACGGGUAGCCCCCCUUGCAGAAUGAUGUGGGCAACAUGAUAAUCUAUGUAUUUAGGCUUUUCUGAAGUUCAUAUAUUACAGGGAAAUCUGGGAAGAUUAGCUAAUUUUUUCCCCAUGUAUUUGUGUUUUACGUGGGUUUGGUGUGGAUGUCUCAGUGGCAUCACAGCUUGUACUCGAUAGUCUUGUGUAUGGAUUUCUUUGAGUCGAGUCAUGUCUCGGCUUAUACAGAAAGUUUCCAUGAUAUUGUCCUCAUGUAUAAUCACAUCAACUCUGUAACAAUGACCCCGCCCUCUCCUCUCUCUCGCUCUGCUUCUACUAACAAUGACCCCACAAGCAUUCAUGAAGUGCUGUUAGCCAUCCAUGAAUAGCAUAUGAUGAUGACGGACCUCGUGAGGCAGAUUUGGAGGGAAGGGUUGAGAAAUACAUAGGUGUGAAAGUGAAGGUCUGCGUUUAUUUUUCUGCAGAAAUGUGGAUACAGAAUUUUAUUAUAAAAAAAAAAAAAAAAAAAAAAAAGGAUGGAUUGGAUAGUAAAUAGCCUUUUAGUGCACUUUCUGUGUAUUGACAUUGACAAAAGUGGUGAGAUUAGGAUUCAGCUAGUCUUGUUAAAAAUGCAUGCAAAUGUUGUUUUAAUUUGUAAUUUUGCCUUCUAGUAAAUAGGGUGAGCAGAAGUAUUUUGCCUACAGCAGAAGUAUCCUCGAGAAAAUGGGCAUUCUCAAAUUUAAAUCUGCUUCUGAAGCUGGUUUUGGUAAGUAGGUUUCAUUUACAGGGCAAGGGGAAGCACAAUCAAUGAAGCAGUUAUUGUCAAAGAACCAUCUCAACCCAAAAGUUUAAGCUAUUAGGUGAGGUUUCAGAAUAUGAUUUAUAUUAUUCUCUAACACACCUUCUCAAGUGAAAGCUCUUUGGGCUUGAAACUUGCACAGACUCACAUUACCUUGUGCUUAAUUUUUAUCAAAUAAAUGGGGAUGGUGAUAUUUAAACUCGUGACCAUUUGGUCAUCAAGGUUCUGAUACCAUGUCAAAGAACCAUCUCAACCCAAAAGCUUAAGCUUUUAGGUGAAGUUCCAGGAUAUGAUUUAUAUUAUUCUGUAACACACCCCUUCAAGUAAAAACUCUUUGGGCUUGAAACUUGCACAAACCUACAUUACCUUAUACUUAAUUUUAUCAAAUAAAUUGGGAUGGUGAGAUUCGAACUCGUGAUCGCUUGGUCAUUAAAGCUCUGAUAUCAUGUCAAAGAACCAUCUCAAUUAAAAAACUUAAGCUAUUAAAUGAGAUUUCAGAAUAUAAUUUAUAUUAUUCUGUUUGUCGGGAGUUAGAAAAACUAUGGUAGCCCCGACAUUGAUAUUUGCCAUACAACGAUGUGAUCCUGCUCCCUUUUAUCUUUUUGAUGAGAUAGACGCAGCACUAGAUCCCCAGUACAGGGCUGCUGUUGGAAGUAUUUUGCCUUCAUGUCGCGCUUCUAGAUGCUUUCUCCCAAUUAAAAUCCAUGCACAAGCACGUUAAGUUUAUAAUAAUAGGCCUCCAAUGAAGGAAGUAAUAUUCCACGAAAAUCAAAGAACAGUUCGAGCACGUGCUCUCAAUGAAGGGGCAGCGUGAAGACCACGGCACUGCAGUUUAUAAUAAUAGGCCUCCACAAGUAGCAAAUAAUAAAUUAUGAUGUAAUUGUAAAUCCUUCUAAAAUUGUUAAGUUGUUGACGUAGACGUAAAGUAGAUAUGUUUUAUAAAAUGGCUGCCGAUGCAAAGGUUGGGUUAUUCCAAGGAGGGACUUUUAUUUUCAUUGUCUUUCUGUCCUAUAGCUCGGCUGGUCCUGCUGGAGUUUACUAUGAUAAAGUCAUUUUUUAGUAGCCUGCCUUGUUUGUUUUCGAUGAAGCUACACGGUAGGUUCCAGUUGUGUUUGGCCAGUUUUUUUAUGCUUAUGUUUUUGGAGACAGUGCGUGCAUGGUCACUAUGUCAUGUGAAACAAGUAAAUUAAGAUUUCAGUAUAUAAUUUUAUAUUAUAUUUUAAUACAUUCCUUAAAACUUGUACGGGUCAAUAUUAUUAUAUGUUUUAUUUUUUUAUCAAAUAAAUAAUAGUGGUGAUAUUUAAACAUGUAACAACUUAAAUAUUAAAUUUUUGAUACCAUAUUAAAAAUUCAAUUCAACCAAUAUUUUAAAUUGUUAAAUUAAAUUUCAAAAUAUAAUUUUAUAUUAUUUUUUAAUUUGAUGUUAUAAUUUACUACUAAUCAACUUUAUUUUUAUUUUUAAUUUUUGUUAUUUGAAGGAAAAUGAAAACAAUUAACACGAGCCCGUAUGUGGGAGAGCCAUUUGAUUUAUGAGGGGACAAAUCAAUUUGAAAUGUAAAAGUUUUUGAGACCAAAGUAGACGACAUGUCGUGCUACAAAAGAAGGUUGAUUUUCAAGGUUGGUGUCUAUAUAUGCCAUUUUCAUUUUAUUUCUCGCAUUUACUAGCUCUAUUCGUGCCUGCUUGUGGUCCUGAGCCCACCGCCCCUGCAGCUAGCUAGGUGGAAUCCAAUGUUAAUUUCUAGGUCCAGUGUCACUUAUUUUAAGCUUGAUGUUAACAUCCAUUAUAAUAUAUAAAAAUGGUUAUGUUGACGAAACAUGAAACCUUCAACAGUUCAUUCACCCAACCCAACUUUACAAUGAUAAGACAUGCAUGUUUUUAAUGGCAUUUAAUACUAUGCUAUUUUUUUAAGUAUUACAAAAUAAUUGGCCUCAUGGGACCACAGACGUCGGUCCACACCAGUUACAUGCCAGCGGAUAUGGUCACCAUAAGAUAUCAACGAAGAAGUUGAGAGGUCGGAGUAAGAGCAUCACAGAAAGAAGAGCAGUACCUGAACCAAGAGGGUUUUUUUACUACUGUUAAGUUUUAAAAUCGUAACCUAUUGUAAUUGUCUUGUAGGUUAAUUUAUGGGUAAAGUCCCAAGCUCUCCACUGUUUCUGCUGUGGCAAAUACCCUAUGGAGCUCGGCUGGUCCUGUUGAAGUUUACUAGCUAUGAUAAAGUUAUGUUCAUACUCGGAAGUAAAUUUUCCAAUGACAUAACUUUGUUAAUACCAUAUCCAUUUUUAUUGAGGAAAGGGAACCUUAGCUUGCAGAAACAAUAAAAUUUUCCAAUAUGGCUGCCUUUGUGGGGUAUACUGUAUUCUCAGGAGGGACUUUUCUUUUCCCUGUUUUUUUCUCCUAGUGGUUUCUUUCACAUAAUUUAUUUUAGUCUUCAUGAUCCAUUAAUUACUAGGGCCUCAUUGACUCAUGACUUCGGAUGGGAUGUUUUCCGAACUUGAAAGAAUAGAAAACUAAAUAAAAUAAAUCUAAUUACAUCACAGUUGGGUUAAUUUUGGAUUGCCAUGGAAGAAAGAUCGAAGAAAGGACUCGCAAGACUUCAUUGACCUGAUCAUCUCGGAACUGGUCAUAUGAUGAGUGUUUUCUGUCAGACUCGCUUAGCUAUAUAUUGUCUACCAGGAAAUGAAGAUGCACAAUUAAAAUUAGCGGGAGAGAGUUGGUUUGGAGCUUCUUUGUAUCCAUAUAUUAAGUUGGGUGGUGGUGUAUAGAAAAUGAUACUUCAGAGGUGGGUGUUUUUGCUGAUGAUGUUGCUGCUAGUGGCUGCAGUAACAGGAGCAACAGCAAAUCCAGAUGUGAGAGAUGGCUGCCAAGAAAGGUGUGGGGAUGUUAUUGUUCCUUACCCGUUUGGGAUUGGGGAACAAAGAUGUGCCAUGAAUCAACACUUCUUUCUAGAUUGCAAUUCCACUGAUGAAGUACUGUGGUUUGGAGAGAACAUGCCUGCUCGCAAUAUAUCAUUGCUGAAUGGCACAGUCACUGUAGGCAUUGAUACAUCGUUCGAUUGCUAUGACAAGUCAGGGCUGCAGUCGGGGCUUUUCAAUCAGUCUAUCUCACUUGGAUCAGGCCCCUUCACAUUUUCAGACUCUCGAAAUGUUUUCACAGCAGUUGGUUGUGAUACCAUUGCCAUGGUGACCAACGACGAGGUGACAUUCGGGGCGGCUUGUCUCUCUUUAUGCACUGAAAAUGUUAACAUGUCAAAGAAUAAUUCCUGCUCAGGUUCUGGAUGCUGCCAGACCUCGAUUCCCAAGGGUCUCAAGUCUCUGGAUAUUACCAUUGGGAGCUUUUCCAACCACACGAAUGUUUCCGAAUUUAACCCCUGUAGCUUUGCAUUCCUUGAGGACAAAGACUCCCUUGACCUGUCGGAUUGGCCACUCUCUCGACUCCAAAACUUAAUGAUACAUCAAAUGUUGUGAUCGAAUGGGUAGCUCAAACCGAGACAUGCGAAAAGGCUCGGACCAAUAAGAGUUCAUAUGCUUGUGGCAUGAAUACAAAUUGCAAUUACUCUGAUAAUGGUCAAGGAUAUCGUUGCGAAUGCAAAAAAGGGUUCGAAGGAAACCCAUAUCUUGAACAAGGAUGCCAAGGUAAAGUGACAGAUGCCUUCAGUAGUUACGUAAUUGAAAUUAAAAGAUUGUUCAUUCCUCUUGUCAGAUAUUGAUGAAACAAAACAACUUCUAAAUGCGUAGAACUUUUCUAGAAUUUAUAUUCGUGUAGACUAAAUUGUAUUGAAUUAAGGUCAAUUCAUAAUUUUUUAUGUUUACAGAUAUUGAUGAGUGCAAGGAUCCCCAGAAAUACACAUGUCAUGGUAAAUGCCACAACACCAUUGGGGAUUACAAAUGUAAAUGUUCACUUGGCAUGCAUGGUGAUGGAAAAGUAGGCUGUCAAGGAUUUGCUAUCACUACCAUUAUAGCAGGUAAAUGUCCUUUGCAUUUUUCUUCUAUACCAGUGGUUGCUAUUGCUUGCUUUGACUGCUUCCAGAGCUCCAUCUUUAGUACUCAGAGAACCAAUAAGUUCCUGUUAUUGGAUUUUGCUUUGCAUACAUCCUUUAUUCCUCCCUCUCAACACAUGAGAUUAGCAUAGCCACUAAAUAUGGCAUGGAAACGUUUCUGUUCAAGAGAUUCAUUUGUUUUCCAUUGAUUUUCUGUAUGCAGUCAUAGGCGCCAUAGUUUCCCUGGUGAUUAUUUGCCUAUUGCUCUUCAUGAUCUUGAGUAAAAGAAGAAAGGACAAGAACUUCAGAGAAAAUGGGGGAACGGUUUUAAAGCAUCAAAGAGUAAGGAUUUUCAGUGAGGCAGAGCUGACAAAAGCAACCAACAAUUAUGAUGAUGAUAAAAAACUCGGGGAAGGUGGUUUCGGUUCAGUUUACAAAGGAGUUUUAGCAGACAAUACAGUAGUUGCUGUCAAGAAGUCCAAGGGGGUGGACAAAGCUCAGAUGAACGAGGAUUUCCAACAUGAAAUCUGCGUUGUUUCACAGGUCAACCACAAGAACGUGGUAAAACUCCUGGGCCUGUGCUUGGAGACCAAAGUGCCCUUACUAGUUUACGAGUUCAUCUCAAAUGGAACCCUUUUCAAGCACAUCCAUGACAAAAGGUCACAGGUAUUGGCUUCCUGGAGCAAUCGUCUGAGGAUUGCAUCGGAGGCUGCUCUUGCGCUUGAUUAUUUGCACUCUCUAGCAGACCCUCCAGUUAUUCACGGAGAUGUCAAGUCGGUGAACAUUCUAUUAGACGAUAAUUACACGGCAAAGGUAGCAGAUUUUGGAGCUUCGGUGCUUAUUUCUCCAGGCCAGACCAAUAUUUUAGCCACGAAAAUACAAGGAACUUUCGGCUACCUGGAUCCAGAGUAUCUUAUGACGGGUAAUUUAACUGAAAAAAGUGAUGUGUAUAGCUUUGGGGUAGUUCUUGUGGAGCUUCUCACAGGGGAGAAGCCGAACUCAAAUGCCAAGUCAGGAAAGAAACGGAACUUUAUUCAGUACUUCAACUCAGCAUUGGAAAAUAAUGAUCUUUUUGGAAUUUUGGAUUUUCAACCAGCUGAUGAAGCUGAGAUGGAUGAGAUUGAAGCUGUUGCUGAGCUUGCUAAAAGAUGUCUGAAUAGCAUAGGAGUAAACCGCCCAUCCAUGAAGGAAGUGUCAGAGGAGCUUGCUAAGCUGAAAUCCCUUAAUCAGAAAUCAUGGGCCCAGCAAAAUAGCGAUGAGACAGAGCACUUGCUAGGCCAAUCAUCACAAUCUUUCCGCAACAACGCAAGUCCUCCAACGAGUCAAUCCCAAACUGUCAUAUCCUUCGAGAUUGAAAACUACACCGAUAGCAUUUAAAAUUGGAAUUCGCCAAGGAAACAUGCUGCACUUUCGGAAGGCCAAGAAAUUGUUGUCAAGCGUGUACUAAAUAGUUUGUUUGAUUAAGUUGCAGCUUUAUUGGUAGUGAUUGAGUAUUAUUGUCUCCAGGAUCCUGUAAGCUUAACAUGUUUCUGGAUUUAUCAUUUCUUUUUUCAUCAUGUAAAGUAAAAAUUGUGGGUUUACAGGAUAAAGAUCAUAAUAAAGCGAUUAAUUUACCUUGCAUGGUAGAUUUUGUGGAACCAUGGACCGAAAUGCCAUUCCUGAGAUGUGAUAUAAAGAUCAUAAUAAAGCGAUCAACAUGAUUUAGGACGAUACUAGACCAAUUCAACGUAGCACUUAAUUUGGACUUUGUGAUUGUAGCGGACUUUCUGGACUUCAAUAAGGAAUGCAUCUUAGGUUCACUUAUUCAAGGACUUGCAUUCUCAUGGAGAGGAGUGAUGAUUUGCCUGGCUAAGAUUAUAUCUCCACUAUUUUUCUGACCGCACAAGCAUUCAUGAAGUGCUGUUAGCCUAGAUAACUCGUCAGAUACUUCAUGCUUGGCCUAUUUACACCCUGCUAUUUGUGCAUCUUUUUUGCAAGCCCAGCAACCAUUUCUAUCUCCUCCGGUUCUUCUUUAGCUACCUCAAAAUCUAAAAUUUUAAGGAGAUGAUUGUUUUCCAAUGAUGAGAUGAAAAUGAUGUUACGCUUCUCUCCAGGCAUUAGAGUUUGGCUUAUGUCCUGUCAGAAGUUCCACGAGAACUGCUCCGAAGCUGAAGACAUCACUCUUUACUGUUAAAUUACCUGUCAUAAGACACUCACUAUCCAGGUAGCCAAAAUUCCCCAUUAUUUUUGUGGCUAUAUCAGCUUCACCUGGUGAAAUCAGCUCUGAAGCUCCAAAAUCAGCUCCGGAAGUAUGUUCACUGUCUUGACAUCCCCAUGAACGAUUGGAGAGUUUGCUAAAGAACGCAAAUAAUCAAAGUGCAAGUGCAGUCCCAGCAGCUACUCUCAAACGGUUUGUCCGAGUUCUCAACACUUGAGACUUUUAUCAUGGAUAUGAUGAAAAGUGUGAUGUUUUGUAUUAAAGGGAUAGGAAAAGCCUAGAAAGCCCUUGAAGGCUUAGAUGUAGGAAUAAAUUAAAUAAGGGUAUAGUAGUAACUAGAUAAAUAAUUGAUAAAUAUAAAUAGGAAGUAAAAAAAAAAAAAAAAAAAGGGAAAGUGAUCUGAAAUUAGAGAGCAGAACCGUGAGAGAGAAGAGAGAAAGAAGAAGAAGAGAAAAGAAGGGAAAAUAAGGGAAAAAGGAAGAGUUUUGGAGGAAAUAAGUGAAAAAGGUAAGAUUUAGGUUGUUUAAUGUGUAUAAUAUGUUAAUUAAGCUUUAAUUACAGUUUUUAUGAAUGUUAGGGUUUUGAGAAUUUGUGUUUGAUUUAAAUUGAUGAAUUAAUUUGAAGGUUAUAAGGUUAAUUGUUGUGGUUAAUUGAUGAUUUAGUUGAUUAUGGAAGAUUAUGAUGAUUUUGAGUUAUAGAAUUGUGUAAAUGGUGAAAAUUGAGUUAGAAAUCAGGGGAGAACAGUGGGGUUUCUGUUAAAAUCUGGAUUGGAGGUUGAAGAUGACGAAAAUUCAAUUUGGUCCCUCAAUUUCUGAAAAUUUCAGUUUAGUCCUCCAAUUUGACAAAAAGUACGAUUUGACCCUAAAAAUUUAGUAAAAUUCCAGAAUGAUCCCUGAAGCAUAAUGAUACAUCCUGGACAGAAUUGAGGAUUAAUUAAGGUCAGAAUUUCAGUAUAUUCAUGGAUUUAUGACAAAUUUCAGUUUGGUCCUCCAUUUGACAAAAGUUACAAUUUGGCCCUAAAAAUAUGGAAAAAUUCCAGAUUAGUCCCUAGCUGUAAUAUUAGCUUUUGCAGAUUAGUUUGAUGAAUAAUUAAGGGUUAUUUAGUGAAUUAUUACCAAUUUUAUUAGUUGUUUUUAUUAUGGAUUAGAUUUCGGGAAAACCGUUAGAUUUUGGGUUUUUAAGAAAAUUGACUAGUUAGUUCAAAAAAUAUAGGGUUACGAAUACACCCUUAGUUAAGUGUAUUAAAUAGAUUAAAUGUUCUUUCGAGUCGUUUUUGAAUAUGUCUCCUUUGUAUUCAGAUAAUCCUGAUAUUCUACCGGCAGGACGUCAGUAGAAUUUCCUUCGGUUUCAGCUUGUGUGUGUGUUUGCUUUUGAGUCAGGUGAGUGGAUAAUUUUCCAUAUGCAUGAGAAAUAUUAUAAAUAUUUGAUUUGUUAAUAUGAAUUGGAUCAUGCUUCUUGAUAAUAUAUAUGCUGAUUAUUAUCCUUGAUAUGAUAAAGCAUGAUCAAUUAUUGAAUCUGAUUUCUUGAUAUGAACCAAUAUGAUUUGACUUCUGAAUUGAUAGCUCCUCAUUUGAUGGAUGUCAUGAGUUGAGCUUUGAGAUAUGAAUAUGUUUGUUUGAUUAUGAUUAUGAACCUAUGGUAUGUCAGUCAGAAUACCCAUGCUAACAGGGUAGUGUUAGUCUUUGUGCACAUCGUAUCUGAACCCUAGUUGGUCGGGGGAGUCACCAACCUGUGUGGACUGAUCAUCCCACAGUACGGAGCCUCAUGCUCAUUGCAUUUUGAUUUUCUGACGAGUUUUACCAUAUGAUAUUCUUGUUAUGGCCUAUUUGAUAAACCUUCGUAUAAGAACUAAAGCCAUACUUGUAUAUAUAUUUCUCAUUGUUAUAUUACCUCGUAUGUGUAUAUUGAAUGUUAUCUAUUCACUGAGUUGUUGAACUCACCCUCUCAUUAUUUAUUCUUUUCAGGCUUAUAGCUUGAUAGCAGGUUACUUUUGUUGAACCUUCCGAACCUACCUUUUGGUUGUAAUUUGUACCUUCCUUUUGUGUCAAGUUAGUGCUCCAAAACUAUGAAAUUAUUAACUCUUGUAUUAAGACAAUCGAAUUAUAUUAUGAAGUUGUUUGUUGUUAAUACUGCGUUAAACUCUGAUUGAGUUGUUUCAAGGAUUGUAUGUAAGUUUGGGUUCACAUAGGUUUGGAACCUUAGAGGGGAACCUUGCCUAUGUGCCGGUCAUGGAUCCGGGAUUCGGGUCGUGACAAAAAAGGGUUCCGUUAGAGAUGAAUUUGUAAACUAGUAAAGGCUCUUUGGUCUGCAAAAGUAGUCCGAGUAGCUUUUAACCACGUUCUUGCGAUUGACUUGUAGCCAAUUUCUUGCUGAAAUUCCUUGUUCAUUUGAGCCUUGUCUACUCCCUUAAACUUCUUGACUGCAAGUUGGGUAUAAUAUGGUAAAACUCCUUUGUAUACGCAGCCAAAACCACCUUGGCCAAGUUUCUGGUGAUCAUCAUAAUUGUUCGUUGCUUUUGCCACCUCUGUUCUCAUACUAGGAGUAGGGUGUGUGUGUGUGUGUAGGGACGGAUCAAUUAAUAUAUAAUCUACAAUUAUAGGGAAAAACUUAUCAAAACUGUUAAUAGAUGUAUCUUUGAAGCAUAAAAGGUGAAUUUAUCUAAUCACAAGAAUCUCAAAUCCAAAUGUUUGUUUAUAAAGAAGUUAUUUUGAUUUUUUUCCGCAUGUUAAGAAAUUCAGCAUGGGGUAGUAGUGAAUCAAAGGAUAACUGCAUUUACAUGUAGAAUCCAAGAAUUAAUGUGUGCUAGCUGCCCGGAGGGCUGAAGACUAGAUUACCUGAAGCUACUGUGGCGAUACCGCAGAUGACCAUCUUCUUUAGUUCUGAUAUAAUAUUGCCUUGAUCAAUGAGGCAACCUUUCAAAGAUACUGUGGCACAAUCUUUUAAAAUAUGAUUUUCCAAGAUUUUUCUUCAACUAUACUAUUUUCCUAAUAAAAUUUUUCUUUCAACAAUACUAUUUCACCAAAUAAGUUAGUACCUAAUCAUGCAAUCUAUCAAAAAAUAACAAGUUUCUAGCUAACAUAACUCCUAUGUUAUGGCAUGCAAUGGAUAGACAUAUCAAAUCAACAAUCUCCAUACUAGCUGAAACUUCAAACAACAAUCUGUUCACAAAAAGAAAAACAAAGCAAAAAUCAUGACUCCGCUAAAUGUCUUGGAACAUUACAUGACAUGCUGAAACCUAUCGUUGUUCAAAAGCAGAUUUUCUAGCUAGCAUUGACAGGCUUAGUAGUGAGUCCAAAAUCAUAGGAGAAGAGGGGAUCGUAAUGAGAGUCACCAACAUUCAUAUGGAGCUGAUCAACGGUCUUGAACCAAGUCCGGGGUAAAAGGGAAAGUCUUCAAUCAGGUGCAUCACUGCCCUUUAAUCCUGCAAAUCAUAGCUGCAACACAAGCCUGCAAUCAGGAACAAGAGAUAACACUCUGCCUUGAAUUAUGCAGAAUACAUCAAGGCUGCAAUUGUGGUUAUUAUUUAUUGUAACAACUGUGUAAUAUAGAAACAACGGUUAUAGUAGCUAUCCAGGUACAGCAGCUAUAAUUUCGGCCAGAAACUUGUUCUUCAAAAAUCAAACAAUGACAGUGUAUAUAAAUUUAUCAAGCAAUGUAUGAAAACUCAGGCGAGAAUAAUAAGAGAAUAUCAAAACUUAUCAAGUGCUCUUUCCUCUUUACGGGGCAGCUUUCCAGUGAAUCCAUCAUCCCCGAAAAGCACAUCUGCUACUCCUUGGCCUUCAGUGCCUGGCAACCAAGCAGCAACAAGAGCAUCGAUUAUUGACUCAGGGCUCAAUCACGACUGGACGACCAGAUACUGUGACAACAACGCACUUAACAUUGCCGCGGACAUUGAGGAUCGUCCUUGGACCUGGUUCAGCUAUGGUCAGGUUCAAACUGUCUCCAGCUGUCUCGGCAUAAGGAGUCUCUCCGACCACAACAAUGGCAUAAGAGAAGUUGUUGGACUUGACGAAAUCAGCAUCAGGGUUCUUGCUGUAAAUGAUUUCUGUGCUUGGAUCUACUGCGGCUGAGAUACCACUUAAGAUGGUGGUUCCGGCUCAUUGUGCGAUAGGACAAACUCCAUCAAUACUCCUACUAUUAUAUUUGAAUUCAAGAGAAGCGUGCUUGAAAUGGAAGCAAAAGGGAGAAGCAGUUAUACCAGCAGUGUAAUUGUUGCCAUCAACGCCUUGCCAAGUUGCAGUCCAUCCUCCACACUGAUAGCCCAGAUUGGUGGCAUGGCUUGCGGCUACAAGGAUCCAAGAUGCUUUUUUAGGGAGGGGUAGAACUGGAGCAUCCGCGUUCUCUCCAUUCUUCAGCAGCACAAGGAUCAAAGAAAGGACUCACAAGACUUCAUUGACCUGAUCAUCUCAGAAUUGGUCAUAUGAUAAGUAUUUUCUGUCAGUCUCUCUUUGCUAUAUAUUGUCUACCAGGAAAUGAAGUUGCACAAUUAAAAAUUAGCGGGAGAGAGUUGGUUUGGAGAAGGAGCUUCUUUGUAUACAUAUAUUAAGUUGGGUGGUGGUGUAUAGAAAAUGAUGCUUCAGAGGUGGGUGAUUUUGCUGAUGAUGUUGCUACUAGUGGCUGCAGUAACAGGAGCAACAGCAAAUCCAGAUGUGAAACCUGGCUGCCAAGAAAGGUGUGGGGAUGUUAUUGUUCCUUACCCGUUUGGGAUUGGGGAACAAAGAUGCGCCAUGAAUAAACACUUCUUUCUAAAUUGCACUUCUACUGAUAAUGGUCAUCAUGAACUGUGGUUUGGAGAGAACAUGCCUGCUCGCAAUACAUCAUUGCUGAAUGGCACAGUCACUGUAAGCAUUUUUACACCGUUCGAUUGCUAUGACAAGUCAGGGAUGCAGUCGCUGCUUUUCAAUCAGUCUAUUACACUUGGACCAGCCUACACAUUUUCAGACUCUCGAAAUGUGUUCACAGCAGUUGGUUGUGAUACAAUUUCCAUGGUGACCAACGAGGAGGAGAUAUCCGGCGAUGCUUGUCUCUCUUUAUGCACUGUAAAUGUUACCAUGUCCAAGGAGAAUCCCUGCUCAGGUUCUGGAUGCUGCCAGACCUCGAUUCCCAAGGGUCUCAAGUCUCUGUAUAUUACCAUUCAGAGCAUUCGCAACCACACGGAUGUUUCCGAAUUUAACCCUUGUGGCUUUGCUUUCCUUGAGGAUACUCCCUUGACCUGUCGGAUUGGCAACUCUCUCGUACUCUAAAACCUUAAUAUACAUCAAAUGUUGUGAUCGAAUGGGUAGCUCAAACCGAGACAUGCUAAGAGGCUCGGGCCAAUAAGAGUUCAUAUGCUUGUGGCAUCAAUAUAAAUUGCUACUAUACUCCGAUAAUGGUCAAGGAUAUCGCUGCGCAUGCAAAGCAGGAUUCGAAGGAAACCCAUAGAUAUGAAAAAGGAUGCCAAGGUAAAGUGACAGAUGCCUUCAGUAGUGAAGUGAUUGAAAUUAAAAGACUGUUCAUUUUUCUUCUCAGAUAUCCGUAGUCCUGCAUGCCAGAACUUCUUAGAACUUUUACUCGUGUUGAAUCAAAGGUAAAUUCAUAAUUUGUUAUGUUGACAGAUAUCGAUGAGUGCAAGGAUGCCGGCAAGAGACACCCAUGCCAUGGUAAAUGCCACAACACCUUUGGGGAUUACGAAUGUAAAUGUUUUUUUUUUUUAAUUAACAUGGGUUGGGACUACUUUGUGUUCCCAUUAACUAAUUUCAUUAUAUAAAAUUUUAAUGAUUCCAAAAAAAUUCAAACCCGUAAUUCUUCGAAAACAAAUUCAAGGUUUGGCAUCAUCACAAUUAUUAUUUCAGGUAAUUAAUGUGCAUGCACUUCAAUACGUGGCAGGGCAGUGGCAGUGGCAGAUGUUCCUUGUUUUUCAAAUAUCCUAUAUGGAGGGCGGAGCUAGAAUUAUUUGUUAGGGGUCAUAAUUAAUAUAAUAAAAUAUAAUAUUUAUUUGACUUUAUUGUACAUGAGUUGUAAAAAAACCUGUAUAAUUUAAUUUUAUUCAAAUAACUUACUAUAAACAUAUAAUUAUCUUUGUAUGAGGUAAAAGGUUUGAAGAAAUAUCAAAUUGAGUCAAAGUAACGAAGUUAAUUUCAUCUUCAUAAUAUAUUCAUCACUUUAAUGUUAGUCUUUAUAUCUAUCAAAUAUAAACAUACAAAGUAUAUAAGAAACAUUAGCUAAAACGAAGUAUUAUUUAUGUUUGAUAAACUUUGAAAUAAAGCAAAAAAUAAUAAAGAGUUAUUCUCACUAAUCAACGCGGGUUCUUUGUAAACUGAGACGCAUUGGAGUUGCUCAAUCAUAACUUUAACAUUACACAUUGGAGUUGGUUCACUAGGCUGCGAGUUAUCAAUAUUUGUUUUGAAAAAAAAUAAAAUUCUUCUUAUUUUGUUCAUGGUUCAAUCUAAAAUCAAAACAUAUAUCGUGAGAAAAAAUUGAUAAUUUUGAUGAUUCUGCUAAAAACAUAGCAUAAAAAAAAAUUAAAGUAUAAUCAAAACAAACCAAUGAAAUAUAUCUAAUGAAUUAAAAAAAAACAAUAUAACAAGAAUUCAAAAAACAAUUGGUAAAAUUAGCAGAUCUAAGAAAAAAAUAAAGCAAAAAUGGUAGAAUUAUAUAAAAAAAAAACCUCAUCAAAUUAUUAACAAACAUCUCAAAAUAAAAUAAAAAUAGAUUUUAAAUUUAAAUUACCUUAUUUUGUUUAAUGAAAAAUAAAUUAAUUGAUGGCUCUAUUUCAAUUUUUUCAUUGAAAAUUUUUACUUAUGAUUUAUAUUUUUAUUUUUGUUUUUGACCGACUGCAAAAUUUAUUGUGCAAAGUAAUGAAUUUAUAUUUAUAGAAUUUAUAUUAGGAUACGUAAAUUAAUUUUUUUAAAAAUCAAAUUAAAAAAUCACAUUUAAUUAAAGUAAAAAAACUUUUGUAAAAUAAAAAACUUCAUCCACACUUAAUUACCUCUAUAUAUAUAUUCUCUAUACGUCUCUUUCCCUUCUCUGUAUCACUCUUGCCUGCAACAACUAUUAAUACGAGACUUGGAAUAGAAAUUCAAGUCAAGUGAUGUCCAUCAUCCAAUUUUUCCAGGGGCGGUAUAUAUAUAUUAUACCGGGGCGGAAUAUUUUAGGGGGACCCGGGCCCUGCUUAAACCCCCCCCCCCCAUGUAAUUUAUUAAUGAAUCCAUCCAUCCACCCAAAAGUCCAAAACAAUAAGCUGGCCAUCAUUUACUAGGGCUUUGCCUUUUGGGUUCAAAACAAAAGUACCGAACUAGUUUAUUUUUUAUUUUAAAAAAUAUUCAAAAUAUUAAAAUCGUCAAUCGUAGAGUUUUAUUUGAAAUAAUUGAUGGCCACUUCCCUCGCCACUGCUUGGUUGCAUAUGCCACUCAAAUUCAAUAUUUAAGAACAAGUUAUUCUAACAUAGAAUUAAAAAAAAAAAAGUGGAUCAUCUUAGUCUUUUUUGAAAAUUUCAUGAAACAUAAAAAAUUAAUUGUUUAAAACAAAUUUUAAUUCCUUAAAACUUUAAAGGAAUAAGAAAAUUUCAAAAUUGCAUAUUGAUUAGCAUUUUUUGCAAUAUAAUAAUGAUUAAUGACUCAAUCGUAUAAUAUAAUAUGUAUAGAUAUUCAUAUCUAUUAUAUUAUAACAGAUGGCCAAGGUACCGUGUACAAAGGGAUGCUAGCAGAUGGAGUAAUUGUUGCGGUCAAAAGGUCAUGGGAUAUGAGGAGUUCCCUUUACCAUGGGAAAUGAGAUUACAGAUUGCUGCUGAAACUGCCGAUAUCGGGACUUCAAGAUCACUCUCCGUUGAUCAAACUCAUUUAACGACUAAUUUGCAAGGCACCUUUGGUUACUUGGACCCAGAAUACCUUUGGUCCAGUCGGUAUACAGAUAAGAGUGAUGUCUAUAGUUUUGGAGUAGUUCUUGUUGAGCUCCUAACUGGACAAAAAGCAAUUCUUACAAACGAGUCACAAGAACCCAAAAACUUGGCUGCACAUUUUGUUCUUUUCAUGGAAGAGAACAGAAUUUUUGAUAUUGUUGAUGCUCAAAUUAAGGAGCACUGCCCCAAGGAGGAUGUCAUCGGUGUAGCUAAUAUUGCAAUGAGAUGCUUGAAUUUGAAAGGAAAAAAGCGACCGACAAUGAAACAAGUCACAUCAGAGUUGGAGAGGAUCAUUCAAUUGUCACAAAAUAACGAAGAAGCUGAGAGCAUCACGGCUGAAGUAAUAAGUGCGAGGGAUGAUGCUUCUACAUCAAUUACUUGCAGCAGUUUUCAAGUUGAUCAAGCUCUAUCAUCAUCUGAUGUCGAACCUUUGGUCCCUUUCAAGACUUGGUGAUCCAUUAAUAAGAAACGUGUCUUGACUCUGGAAGUUUUUCCUUUGUCUUUUUUCCUAAUGUUCUUGGAUAAACUUAAGACCAUUUGUUUCGGUAUUUGUUUUGCGAAAAUGCUUGAAGUCAUCGGUGUCACUGUUUUUUCUUCUAUAUAUAUCUUGCUCACGUUCUCUUAAUCUUAUUAUUUCUCUUCUCACCUUGGGAAAAUAUAGCAAAUCACAAGAAGAAAUGGAGUGAUCUUGGUGUGCCUAGAAAGGACAUCUUUGAAUGCUUGAGUUUCUGGGUCAUCCACUGAAGCAAAAUGGAAACUGGUUUUUUAGAGUCCCUCCUCAGAUUGUUGCUAAUGGCGCCAAAGGCUGGGAUUAUUGUCUUGUAGGCUAAUUUAUGGGUAAAAGUCCCAAGCUCUCCUCUGUUAUGCUGGCCAGAUGGUCCUGUAAAAAUAGUAUUAAGAUAUUGCAAGCCCAUUUCGAAGAAAUUAGAGAAAUUGAGAUCAAUAAGUUGAAUUUAAUUAGAUGAUAAAAGAAUAUGCAAGAACUGCGAACAAACAAUUCUAACAAAAAAAAAACCAUGAAACCAUGGGAAAAUAUUUAUAAAGAUUCAAAAUUAGAUAAAAAGGGAUAAAAAAAUCUAAGUCAACUCGAGAUAGUGCGAUAAAUAUAUAAUAUAGAUAAUAAUAGGCAAAACUUAUGACUCAUAUUAUAAGAUCAAGAUAAUUCUAUAUAAAAAAAAAUCAAAGAAAACAAAAGAGUUAAUUCUUAAAAAAAAAAAAACACUAAUGUUGAAUGAUGAUGAAAUAGAUAAUAAGGGGCGAGUCAACCUAUAGUUUUCCACAAAACUCAUAACCCAGGUCAUGAGAUUGGGAUAAUUCUAUAGAAAAAAAAUCAAAGAAAACAAUGAUAAAAUUAAAAAAGAAAAUAAGUAAAAAAAAAAGAUGUCAACUAACAUCAACUUUUUAAACAUGUGACCCGGGUUAUUAAACCGAAAGCAUCAUGCUUGGAAAAAUGGUGAAGCAUAAUCCUUAGCAAAUCAAACAUUGAAGAAUGAAAUAGGGGGAAAAAAUUAACAAUACAAAAGGAUCUAAAUUAAAAAAUGAUAAUUAAAAGAAUGAUGGUGAAAAUAAAAAUAAAUUAGAGGGCAAUUAAAUUUUUUUGAAUGGAGGGUUAAAUUUAAAAGAAAAAUAACUCUAACAAAAAAAUAAAAGAAUGUGGACCAAUGUUUUUUUUAAAAUAACACACCAUGACUUGGAUUGAAAGAUACAAUUGAAAACUAUUAAAAUUUUUAUAAAAGGACCAAUGAAAAAAUUAGAAAUUAAAAUAAUAAUGAUCAAAUUAAAAAAAAUUGACAAAUUAUAAUUAAAAGAAUACAUUGAAAAGAAAUAAAACUUAUGUAAAAGGGCCAAGGAAAAAACUAAGAAAUUAAAAGAGAAAGGACAUAAAUUUUUGGUUGGAGAGUUAAAUUUGAAAGAAAAAUAACUCCAACAAAAAAAAAAAAUAAAGACCAAAUUGAAAAUAAUAACACAAUAUAAACUUAAAAUUACCAGACAACGUCGUACGCUCUAGCAGUUUUUUAAAAUUUAAUGUUAAUUUUUUUUUUUUUUGUAAAAAUAUCUUAAUAUUCUUAAUAAAAAAACAACUUGAAUAAAUAAAAAACGCAUUGUAAGAUAUAAAACAAUCAUCAAAAGAUUUCAACUUAUACUCGAAACAACACAAAUCAUACAUUUAUUUUUGGUAUGUUGGUAGAUGAGAGAAUUUGUGGAGGCUUACCAAAAAAAAAAGAAUUUGUGGAGUACUUUGAUAAAGUCAACUUUUGGGGUUUUGCCCAGGCGUGUAUAUAUAUAAUUAUAUAUCCUGUAAUUUUGGAUUUUGACUGCGGCAACGGGGACUCUUUCUAGGUGGGACCCUAUUUUGUAAUUAUUUUAGAAUGUCUAAAUGAUUUAGAAUGUCUAAAUGGUUGAAGUCGUAGCUAGGGGAAAUAACCAUACGAGAUUAAUAAUACAGUGAAAGAGGUUUUUAAUAGAGGACAUAAACAUAGCUUAAAAAAAAAAAAUCCUGAUUAAUUUUUCUCUAGAGAAAUUACAAAGAAAAAGGUGUAAAUUUCGGACAGUCAAACAUGCUCAGCUUGACAUGUUCAGUGUUUGAGUAUACUACUAUAUAUGAGCCGAAGUCUUCUACAAAUCAUUUUCCUCACCAUAUUCAAAUACAAUAAAUCCAUAUUCAAUUCAUCGUUGCGUCUCACAUCACAUUUCGGAGAGAGUUGGUUCGGCGCUUCUUUGUAUACAUAUAUUAAGUUGGGUGGUGGUAUCUAGGAAAUGAUACUUCGGAGGUGGGUGUUUUUGCGUCAUUGUCUAAUGACUUAGGAUGGGAUAUUUUUUAAUAGGAUUAAAAUAAUAAUACAAGAAAAACAGAAUAUUUAAAAGAACUGGGAGCACAGACGUCGGUCUACAGCCGUUCCAUGCCAGCUGAUGUGAUCACCAUAAGAUAAUCAACGAAGAAGUUGAGAGGUCGGAGUAAGAGCAUCACAGAAAGGAGUAAAUAAAAAAAAUCAUCAAAAUAUAACAAUUAAAAAAACAAUUGAAAAACUAGCACCCUUUGAGUUUGUAUUAAUUAAUCUACUAAUCAAUAUACUCCUAAAAAUAUAUUUUUAAUAUUAUUAUAUUAAAAUGAUCUAAAAAUAUUAAAAAAUUAAUUUAAAGCACGUAGAAACAACAUUUUUAUUUUUUAAAAAAAAAAGUUUUGAAAUGAAAAAACAAAUGGACACUUGGUCCCUUGACCACUUCCAGGGAGCACUAGCGUGUAGUGUAUUCUGAGGAGGGAUUCUUGUCCUAUUGGUUUCUUUCACAUCAUUUAUUUUAGUCUAAUUACAUCACAUUUGGGUUAAUUUUGGAUUACUACUAAAGAAAGAUCAAAGAAAGGACACUCAAGACUUCAUUGACCUGAUCAUCACUGAAAUGCAUGCAAAUCUUGUUUUCAUUUGUAAUUUGCCUUCUAUUAAAUAGGGUGAGCAGAAGUAUUUUGCCUACAGCAUCUUCUAUCCUCGAGAAAAUGGGCAUGCUCAAAUUUAAAUAUCCUCAAGUUGGUUUUGGUAAGUAGGUUUCAUUUACAGGGCAAGGGGAAACACAAUCAAUGAAGCAGUUAUCAGGGGGUCAGAAAACUGUAGUAGCCCUGACAUUGAUAUUUGCCAUACAACGAUGUGAUCCUGCUCCCUUUUAUCUUUUUGACGAGAUAGAUGCAGCACUGGAUCCCCAGUACAGGACUGCUGUUGGAAGUAUCCUAUUUCCAUGUUGUUUUGCCAUCUCCCUAAAGCUUAAAUGGUUUCUAUUUUGUGGUCUUGUUUUGGCUAUUUAGCUAUUGUUUAUUCAUCAGAUGUAACCAUUGGAGGUGAUCCUUAAUUGCUUUGUUCGCUAGACAUGAUUCGUCGCCUGGCUGAUAUGGCCAACACACAAUUUAUAACCACCACUUUCAGGCCAGAACUUGUGAAGGUUGCUGACAAGUUAUAUGGGGUGACACACAAAAACAGUGUGAGCCGUGUCAAUGUUGUCUCUAAGGAAGACGCGCUAGAUUUUAUCGAGCACGAUCAAUCUCAUAAUGUCGAACGAGGUCGGACUAUUUUUAACACUAGCAUUUUCUUGUUUAUUUGAUAUUUUCAAUUGAUUUUAGUGAUGAACCAUUACUGAAAUGAUCUGAUUCAUCUUUAUGGCUGGUGCAGCCAAACUCUGAUGGUCUGACGGAGGGCUGAUAAAUCGAUCUAUACGAGGAUGCCGUGAUAAAUUUGUUUGCUGUUACCAUGUUCUAUAUUUUCUUUUCUGGAAUCUCAAGAUUGUAUAGAAAUAGAUGUUAAACAGCUCAGAGCUAUAUUAGCACAGCUUCUCAUGUCUUUCUUCAAUAUUAGCAUAGGAACUAGUUCAGUAUCAAAAGUGAUGGAAACCUUGGAGAUCUGCAGCUGUGCGGAUGUUUUACCUAGCCAAGUAUACAAACCAUGUUUUUCAAUAUGUUUUGUUAUUUACAUUUUGGAAAAAUUCUCUUUCUCGGCACUGUUGCUGAAUGGAUUUCUACCGCUUCUAGUUGCAUUCUCCCAAUUAAAAUUCAUGCACAAGUUUUCUAUCGCUUCUAGAUGAAUUCUUCUCAUUUCAGUUAACCUUCCUGAACGGUGUUUUGAAUGUUUUCCCACUACAAAAGCAGAUCGAGCAAUCUCUGCUGUCUAUGACAAUCUUGAUGCUAUUAAGGGUUCAGCAGAUACCGAUGAGUCCAUUAUUCUUCAUCAGCAUUGGUAGCAAUGAUAUUCUUAGUUAUUACCAUUCAAACACUAGUGUACCCGAGCAAGAGUUCAUGUCUGCUUUGGAAUUUGAAUGCGAGAAACACUUGAGGAUAAGGUCCUCCUCUUUCCUGUCUGUUUGGUCCAUAAUUCUAUCAUAUUGUUCAAAAGCAUACUGAAUAAACUUUUCUGCCCUGUUGAUUUUUGCAAAACCUACGUAAGCUUGGAGUAAGAAAGAUUGCUGUGGAGUUAAGAGGUCCGCGGUGAAGGCAUCUGCGACAAAAUGCAAAUCUCUGCUGGAAUCGCCAUGAAUAUUAAUUUCAAAGAAUUGGCUGAGGCAUGGUUAGCCAAAACUAGUUCUUAAAGAUCCCUCCACGACAGUAAUUAUAAGAGCAUCUUCUAGGAAUUAGCCAAAUAAAAAAUAAUGAUUUUAAUCUCUUAUUUUUACGGCUUCAAGGGAAGAGCUGCAUUGGAGAGUUUAAAAUAAGAGUUAUUCCUCUGUAUUUAUUAAAAGUGCUAAAAUUUUAUUUAAUAUAUUUUUAUGCAAAAAAAAGGAGUUUUGAUUAAGAUCUUGUGUUAAUUAAUUACAAUUAAUAAAUAGUUUUUUUAAUAUCAAAUAUAUUAAAAUACAAUUGAUUUUUCUAAAAGAUUUUUUUGACAAUUAAUUAAAGUGUACAUAUAGAAAUAAAGAAAAACUACAUUCACAAUAUUCAAAAACCUAUUUUAUUAAAAUAGUAUCUCCCCUUGUAUCAUUAUUACAUGCUUGUACAGUGUGUCAGUAUAGUUUAUGUCAUUACGAACUUAAAUUUGUAAACCAUAUUCUAUUUUCUCUUAAUGACUUCAAUUGAUUCAUCAAUCUAGGUCUCCACAAAUAGCAAAUAAUAAAUUAUGAUGUAAUUGUAAAUCUUUCUAAAAUUGUAUGAUGCAAUUAUAGUUUUAGAAUCUGGCAUGACCCGGCAGGUCGACACAGGAUCCGGUCAAUUUAGGGCUAAAACAUGGUCGAAUUAAAAAACAAUAGGGUAAAGAAAAACUCGGUAUUAUUACCUAGUAAAAAACAUGAUUGCAAUCUAUUAAUUUUUAUUUUUUUUAUUUAAAAUAAUAUUAUUUUGAUUUUUUAAAAAAAAUAACUCGACUAACCGGCUAAAAUUAAAUAAGCUGAUUAAAAUUUAAAACCUAAAUAUUGAAGUAGGCUGGAUCUAAAUUAUAAAUACAAUGAUUAAGUUGUUGACGUGGACGUAAAGCAGAUAUGUUUUAUAGAUGAGGUAGACAAAAUGAAAUUUUCUUUUCCCUGUCUGUUUCUCCUAAUGGUUUCUUUCACAUCAUUUAUUUUAGUCUUCAUGAUUCAUUAAUUAUUGGGGCCUCAUUGACUCAUGACUUCGGAUGGGAUAUUUCCGAACUUGAAAGAAUAUAAAUCUAAAUACAAUAAAUCUAAUUACGUCACAUUUGGGUUAAUUUUGGAUUGCUACAGAAGAAAGAUCGAACAAAGGACUCGCAAGACUUCAUUGACCUACAAGGUAGCUAAGAGAGAUUUCGACUAUUAACCAAAAAAAAGACUUCAUUGACCUGAUCAUCUCGGAAUUGGUCAUAUGAUGAGUGUUUUCUGUCAAUCUCUCUUAGCUAUAUAUUGUCUACCAGGAAAUGAAGCUGCACAAUUAAAAAUUAGUGGGAGAGAGUUGGUUUGGAGAAGGAGCUUCUUUGUAUACAUAUAUUAAUUUGGGUGGUGGUGUAUAGAAAAUGAUACUUCAGGGAUAUUUUCCAGUAGGAUUAAAAAAAAAAUACAAGAAAGACAGAAUAUUUAAAAGAACUGGGACCACAGACGUGGGUCUACACCAGUUACAUGCCAGCGGAUGUGGUCACCAUAAGAUAAUCAACGAAGAAGUUGAGAGGUCGGAGUAAGAGCAUCACAGAAAGAAGAGUGGCUGAACCAAGAGGGUUUUUUUUUAACACAGUAAAUUCUUAAUUACAUUUCAGGUCUUAGAAUAUAUUUAAGAGGGAAUUUCAUUCAGAUUUCAAAAUUCGUAGGCAUAUCAUGGGCUGAAAAUGACGUGGGAAAGGUGCUGCCAAAGCUCCCAUUUCCACGUUAAAUCUCUCCCAUUCCUGAGAUAAUUAAAGAUAUCAUUUAGUAAUUUUGGUGCCAGUGAUUUACUUCCAGUUUGCCAUUGUUUUACCUUAUGUUUUUCAAAGUGUUUUUCAUUAAAAUAUAUAUCAAAAUAUUUGGCUGGUGCAGCCAAACUCUGAUGGUCUGACGGAGGACUGAUAAAUCGAUCUAUACGAGGAUGCCGUGAUAAAUUUGUUUGCUGUUACCUUGUUCUAUAUUUUCUUUGCUGGAAUCUCAAGAUUGUAUAGAAAUAGAUGUUAAACAGGUCAGAGCUAUAUAUAUUAGCACAGCUUCUCAUGUCUUUCUUCAAUAUUAGCCUAGGAACUAGUUCAGUAUCAAAAUUGAUGGAAACCUUGGAGAUCUGCAGCUGUGCGGAUGUCUUACCUAGGCAAGCAUGCAAACCAUGUUUUUCAGUAUGUUAUGUUAUUUAAAUAUUGGAAAAAU